AAAAAUAUAUCUGUAUGAUGGCAAAUAUAAUGCAUCAGAAGUAAUGAAAUUGCACUGCAGUUAAUCUGCUCGGUAGUAGUGGUGGUGAGGUGUUAGCAACGUUUCGAAUACUGUGUGAUGACAGUAGUGUUAUAUUGUAGUUGACGAGUUUUGUGAUUAAUUGUGCUGUAUGUAAACGGAUUUAUAGUUUGUGAUUAGACCGUAUUAUAUGUGACUAACUAUGACCAAACCGUUUGUGACCAAGACAGUGCGUCACUGACAUGUGUUGUCUGUGACUAAUUGUAACCAAAUUUGUAUUCAGUGUGACUGUCUGUGACCAAUUUAAUAUUUACAGUGGUGGUAUGUGAUUAAGUCAUAAUCGAUCACAGUUAAUAUAGAAUUAGUCACAACUAUCACAACAAACAAAUACUUAACCUCAAAGAGUCACCAUAAACAAAUAUUCACGCGCUGUAGCCCAGUAACCACAAUCCACCAUCAGUUACCACCACCUUCACUUCCAACUUUAUUACAUUCAUUGACCUUUGUUAUCUGUGACUAUUUGUAACCAAUUUUAGCUUCAAUGUGACUAUCUGUGACAAUGUCAAUCUAAUUUGUGACUAUAUGUAAUCAAGUCACAUGCAAUCACAGUUAUUAUAGAUCUAGUCACAAACAGUUACAAUGAAAAUAGGCUUGGUCAUACUCGAUUUUCGUCGUCAUUACCACCACUUCCAACAACGUCAAUCAAAUGCACACUACCGUCACUUUCAACAAAUCCUAACCACCACCAAUGCCAUCACCAUACCACUUCCACUGUGUGAAAAAUCCAACAAUAGAUAUGUCACAUACAACCUUAGAUAUAUCACCACCAGCAAAGUAGUACUUAUGUCAUGAGCACCAUCGCCACCAUCAUCACCACCACUUGUACCUUAAUCCACAACCACAAACUCCACCACCACCUCUACAUCAAAUCCAAACCCACCAUUACCACCACCACCUGUAUCUGCAUCACCACCACCAUCAACAACUACAAACACUAUCACCGUAUCGACAACACAGCACAUCAACACAUCGCAUCAUCUAAACUCCACCAUCGCACCAUCGCCACCGUGCGCGAUGCCAUUGCCUGAUUCGUGUAGCGGCGAUCACCAUCCCAAACCUCUUCAAAAAUCAAAAAGAAAAAAAAAUUGAUCACCAUAACUACGACUCCGUAGCAUCGGAGAAAUUAAACUAAGAAAAAAAAAGAAAAAAAAAAGAUCUUUUGGUAUCAAAGUGGAUGUGCACCACUACUCAAGCCUCCAGAUUCUCCGCGGAUCUCGCCCCAACAAAUUUUUCCCAAAUCACCGAGAUGCGCUCACUCCACGUGCAGCGACAUCAUCGCCCCUACGCACUCCGCACAGUAGGUGCAAAGGCGCUCACGCCACCGCAGCGACGUCAUCGUCAUAGCCUGCACUCGCCACUAUGGUGGUCUCCAAUCAUUGUCUUCUGACUAUUGUGUGACAGAGAGAUGAUAAGAUAAAAUGGAUUAGGGUUCGAGGAGUGGGUGGAAAUGUGUAAGGAGCAAGAAAAAUGAGGGAUAGAAAUGAAUUUGGGGGUGCCAAUAAAUUUGUAUUAAUUAAAUUAAUAAUUCUUAAUUAACACUUGAUUUAUGAAAAACUAAUUCCCCUUAUUUAUGAAAUUAGUUUUCCAAUGUAGAUUUCUAAAUAAUUUGCCCAACAAUAAAAUCAAAUGUAAUUACAGGGCCUAUGUGGCCCUGUGCACCAAGUGUGAUUAAUCAGUCGUAUUGUACCUUGUUUGAGAAGAAUUAUUCGUGAUUAAUUGGAGAAAGCAAAAUAAUUUUGUGACUAUCAUGUGUUUUAAUAAUUUUAUAUUAUUAAGCCCAUAUUUAUUUAUUAUUCUUUAAAAGUUCUUUUUUCUUAAAUUUAUUUUAAUCAUACAUUCUCACGAUAAAAUAUUUUACACAUAAAUUAAAACAAAAAAUCUACUUUUUAACAAUCAAUUUUCAAAAAAUAACUUUUCUAAAACUCAUUUUUUUUUUAAAAAAAAAAAUUCUUUUUAAUAGAGACAUGGGCUACAAUAGAUUAAAGAUCCAUGCACUCCAGAAAAUAAUUUUUUUGCAAUCGAACUACAUCAAAAAUUUGAUAUACAAUUUUUAUAAAUUUACGUAAAUAGUUAAUAAUUAAUUAAUUAAGGGUUAGUUUGAUGCAGAUUUUUAAUAAUAAAAUUUAUGAAAAAGUUAUUUCUUUAAUGAACAUGUGAUUAAAAAGUAAGGAAAUAUGUUCAUUUAUAAAAUUGUUUUAGCGUGUUUGGUAUGCUCCAAAUUCCAUGAAAUCCAAAUGUUGUGUUUGAUAGGCAAAAUUUUUCAUGAAGUUGGUUUUCCAUAUAGUCCCCCACAUGACCCCUUUUCCAUGUUUUGAAGGAAUUGGUUUUCUUUUGGUUUUGGUGAAAAUUGAUUUUUCAGCUCUCUCUCACAUUUUUCAGAUGAAAAAUUAUGCCAAUCAAACACAUUUAAUUGACAAUUAUCAGUAAAAUAAAUUCUAGACAAUUCAGUUCCCUAAAAUUCGUUUUCUUUCCAUCCAAAUUUCAUUCUUACAAUCAAACGAAUUCUAAGAUAAUAUAAUGUUGAAAAUAAAAUUUAAAAAAAAAAACUCUAUCAAAUAGAGCCUAUGUACGUGAACUUUUAUUUAUGUUGAUAAUAUCAUAGUUGGUGGGUCGCAAAGCUUUAUAUAUGUUGACAAUAAUUUGCAUGUCCCCACACUAUUUAUUAAUUAGGUGAAGUGAAAUGUUGGUGGGUGAAUGAAAGGGAACGUGGGAAGGAUCGAGCCUCGUUAACCUAAAUUCAUUCACUAUUAAUCUAUUGAUUUUGUUUUUAAUAGAUUUGAAGAAAGUUGGAGAUGAGGUACGAGAUAAUUUAAACACAAUUAACAUUAAUGAUAUAUAUUUAGUAUGAUGAAUUAGACAAUAAUGUAUAGUAUUUAUAUAUAGAGAGAAUAUUUUUCAAAAUUAUAGUUUUUCUAUAAUAUAAAGUAUAAUUUCUCACCAACCAUAAUACUGAGGGGUUGACAUGAAAAUAUUAUAAAGUGGACCUAUAAUUGGGCUCUCUAUCAAUGGGCCCACUUGAAUGAUAGGAGAUGCCAAAUGAGACACUUGGGUGGCAACCGUCAGAUCGCAUUUAAUUCGUGACCGAAAGUCUCUUUUUGUGGGACACCUACCUUCAGGGGUCGCGUCAAAUCUAUUUGGAUUGUCGAGGGAUCAGAACAAAUUAAAUGAUAAUUGCAGUUGCAGGUCCCGAAAUUUUAAAUUAUGAUUUUUAUCCUAAUAUUUCAUUUAUAGCUGCAUUGUUUCCAAAUCUUUCAAGUCCGUGCGAAAAAAGGAUCUCUUGAAAGUUAAUUCUGUCAAUAUUUUUGGGGUUUUGUUAUUUGUACGUGGGGUUGAUGCGUAGGUGUACAGCCCCCUCACAAUAAGAGAGUUCACGGGUGUCAGCCCCAAUUUACACUAGUAAAAUCCAUAUUUUUUACCAAUUUUAAAAAUGAUAAAAUAAUAAAUUUUACAUUUUUUCACUAAUUAUUAAAGGAUUAUUCUAUUUGUAUAUUAAGAAUUAUAUCAAGGGUUACAUAAUGUACAUGUGGCAUCCUGUCAUUAGGUUAGUUGAAACCAUACACCAAUGCAAAUUUCUGGCUAACCUUAGAGAUUCCAUUGAAACUUUCUAUCUGAUUUUUCACUGUCAAAUUUUUUAGGAAAAAUUACAGCCGAGGUACCAAAUCUUUCGUUUAUUAGCAGAUUUUGCACAAACCUUUAGUGCCAGCCACAGUCCCAAACCUUUCAAAAAUAUGCACCGGGAAUUCAAAUGGAUGGAAACCGUCCGUUUGACCGUUAGUUGACCAAUAAAAUUGAAUUUUGACCAACUUAAAAUGGUAGAAAGGUAAAUUUGCUAUUUAAUUCUAUAAUAAAACAAAUAAAUUAAUAUACCAAAUAAAAAUAAAAGAAACAACUAUUCAUCUUCUACUACUCCCAACCCCACCCCCACCCCACCGCUGUUGCAAUUUUCCCAAUAAAAAAUGCUGGAAGAAUUGGCUUCUUGCUUCGAAAAACUGGAAGAACUGGAAUUUGGUGUUAGGGACAUGAAUCUCUUUUUCUUCCAUUUUUCAAUGAUCUGCCAUUGUUUGGGAAGUUUACAUCAAAUUUCUUAGCAUUUGCUGCUUUCAUUUACUUUUUCCUACAUUUCUUCACCGUUGCUGGAAAAUUUUCAUUAUGGGAUAAAUGUAUCAAAGAAUCCGGUGAUAACUUGUCGCAAUUCAACACGCAAUAGAUUUUUAUUUUCUCUUCUUCACACAGAGAGUUCUGAGCCUGAAAAAACCAAAAAUCAGUCCAAUUAAACCAGUUAUUUUGGGGUUGGCCAAGUAAAAUUUGGGCCGCGCCCAAUCCACUCGAAGACAAAUGAAAUGCAGAAUCAGUUUCAAGCAGAAGAACUGCAAUGUUUUUCGGACAUUGAAAAAUGGAAGAAAAAGAGAUUCAUGUCCAUAACACCAAAUUCCAGUUCUUCCAGUUUUUCGAAGCAAGAAGCCCAGUUCUUCCAGCAUUUUUUAUUGGGAAAAUUGCAGCAGGGGUGGGGUUGGGGGAAGAAGAAGAUGAAUCGUAGUUUCUUUUAUUUUUAUUUAGUAUAUUAGUUUAUUUGUUUUAUUAUAGAAUUAAAUAGUAAAUUUACCUUUCUACCCUUUUAAGUUGGUCAAAAAUUGGUCAAAAUUCAAUUUUAUUGGUCAACUAACGAGCAAACGGACGAUUUCCAUCCAUUUGAACCCCCGGUGCAUAUUUUUGAAAGAUUUGGGGCUGUGGAUGGUACAAACUAAAGGUUUGGACAAAAUUUGCUAAUAAACGAAAGGUUUGGCACCUCGAUUACAAUUUUUCCAAUUUUUUAUUAGCUUCGCGUUGAGAGUAUUGAAUUGAUAUUUGUAAGAGAUUUGGUGAGUGAUGUCAAAAAAGUGGAGUUACAGAGAUCAUUUUCGAGCGAGAAAUUCAUGUGUGUUUAGAAUAUGGAAAUUUGUCUAUAGAUGUAUGCAUACAUCAAACCAAGCAAACUAAGUUCGUUGUUUUUAAUUAAAAACAAAUAAAAUUGACAUUUGCAAUUUUCAUAGAAGAAUAGUUACAAUGCUGGAAGACAAAGUUUCAAUUAUGAAACUAAGUUCUAAAUUUUAAUCAUGAAAAAAGUGAAUAUAUUUAAAACCCAACAUUCAUAAAUACUACAUAGUUAUGAUUUGAAACUUCAGCCGACUAGACCGUGGUUACAUGUUAUUACCUAAGACAUAACUAUCGUAUUUCUACUUGUUUCACCAGUGAUGAACAAUUAUGCUGCAAGUUCAGUAAUAAAACUCGGUUGAACAUCUUUUGCCUGUUGCUUGUAAUUUUCACACACUUCUUUUACAAUGAAAAGGAACUAAACUACGGUGAUCAACAAGUUACAUAUAAUAAUGUUUGGACAUGCCCAAAAAUAAGCUAAAUUUACUAAUUUACUUUUAAUUAUUUAUUUCGUCAAAUAUAAUUUAAAUUAAUUUUAUAAGUAAUCAGCUUACUUUCUUAAAAAUAAGUUUGAUUUAGCUCCUGUGUUGACAAUCACUAUUUCAAAACUCUUCAUUGAACGCAUUCAUUUUCAACCACGCAUUAACAUAAUAAAAUAUUAUGCACAUUAAACCAAAAUUUGUCUUACUUUUCAACAAAAAAUUCAAAAAAUUAUUUUUGUGAAAUAAUGGCUAUCAAAACAAAGACUUAUCGUUAUUUUUUAAAAAAGUAACUUUAAGUACAAUAAUAAAGUCCGUUAAAAUUUGUUCAGAUCUACAUUUGGCUUGGCGUGGGUGGAGUUGAAGAAGAUUUUUUUUUUUUUUAAAUUCUUUGAUUAGUAAAUUAAUUUGUUUUUUUCCCUUUUUUAUGUCCUCCUCUUUUGCAUUUUUUGGAUUUCGCCUUUUUGUUUGUUUAAAAAUAUGGGCCAAAAAGUCUUCUUACACUACUUUAACACAACUUUUUUUGAUGGAUUUCGUUAGUGAGAUUUGUUUGUGUUAAUUAAUGAAAGAUUGUGCGGAAAAGGAUGGGCAAAGUGAAACUUUGAGCAAAGUUGGAGACUAAAUAUGCAAUUUACCCUUAUUCUUUUGUUUAUUUCAAAAUCAAGGGCAAAUUUGUCUUUUCAAACACAACUAAUAAUAUCAAUGUUUUUAGACCCGGACAGGACCGAUAGAUUCAACUGAAAAAAUUGAGAAUCAAACAGAAAUUCGGUCUAAUCAUAGCAUGAAAACCACUGAACCUCCAUUCUCUCUCUCUCUUUGCUGCCCUUGUACAAGGUUUUUGUCAAAACAUCCAAAACCAAUCUUAGGCAAUACGAGUGGUUAAAUAGAUAAAUACAACUAUGCUGUAAAUAUAUUUAUUUGUAAAUGACCAGUAUACACCUACCGUCCUAAUUUUUAUUACCCUUGUAUUUUGAUUCUUCCGUAUAAAUAUGAGAUUUGAUUUCCAAUAUAAUACAUACAAAUAUAUUGACUUUUCUAGUCACUUUUCUUUUUCUCUUUAGUUUUUAAAACGUUAUUAACACGAUUCUCUCAAACUCGUGAAUUAGUUAAAUUUAAUAAUUUUUAUAAGUAUAAUCAUCCGUCAUGCGUAUCAAAAUUAAUUAGGCGACAUAUUGAUUUUUCUAUAUACAUAGGCAUCAAAAUGAAACUGUUUCUUCUUCUUUACUUUUUCCUUUGUAAGCAAAUCCAUAAUGAUUAUUUUAUUGUAGCAUAAUGAUGACCUUUUUAUGCAAACCCAUACAUGCAAUCAUAACACGAAUUUCAUCCGACGAAUUUUUUGCAGCUACAGUUACAGGCCCCUACCAGGGAAGAUACAAGGUGAGCCUCACAAUAAUUUUUUUUUUAAAAUACAGGUGGCCCCCUCCACACAGUGAGGGGCCUGUAAAGCCCUUGUGAAAGAAUCUUUUUAGUAAUGUGAAUUUCUUAGUGGUUAAAUAGAUAAAUACAACUAUGCUGUAAAUAUAUUUAUUUGUAAAUGACCAGUAUACACCUACCGUCCUAACUUUUAUUACCCUUCUAUUCUAAUUCUUCCGUAUAAAUAUGAGAUUUGGUUCCCAAUAUAAUACAUACAAAUUUAUUGACUUUUCUAAUCACUUUUCUUUUUCUCUUUAGUUUUUAAAACGUUAUUAACACGAUUCUCUCAAACUCGUGAAUUAGUUAAAUUUAAUAAUUUUUAUAAGUAUAAUCAUCCGUCAUGCGUAUCAAAAUUAAUUAGGCGACAUAUUGAUUUUUCUAUAUACAUAGGCAUCAAAAUGAAACUGUUUCUUCUUCUUUACUUUUUCCUUUGUAAGCAAAUCCAUAAUGAUUAUUUUAUUGUAGCAUAAUGAUGACCUUUUUAUGCAAACCCAUACAUGCAAUCAUAACACGAAUUUCAUCCGACGAAUUUUUUGCAGCUACAGUUACAGGCCCCUACCAGGGAAGAUACAAGGUGAGCCUCACAAUAAUUUUUUUUUUAAAAUACAGGUGGCCCCCUCCACACAGUGAGGGGCCUGUAAAGCCCUUGUGAGAAAGAAUCUUUUUAGUAAUGUGAAUUUCUUCCCAGCUUCUUCUUUUCCGCCACAAUUAAUUUGUGUGUAUGCAAAAGCUGUUUAUAAUUCAUGCAUUUUGAUUCAUAUACAAUCAAUUCUGUCAUAUAUUAUUUACGUAUUCAUUCUACCACAUAUUAAUUUUGCCUUGAACUUCUGUAUAUAUGGAAUUCUUGUGAGACAUGCAUGAGAUUUAAUAAGGUAUGUUUAAAGAGUUUUUUUGAUUCCUAAGAAAUUUGACAUCAGUUGGCUAUUGAAUCUUUAAUGGACGAACAUUAAACUGAAAUCUACCAUUCUUGUACCAGGCGCACAUCUUAAAGAGUUAUUUCAUUUCUGAGAUUUUUUUUUAAAUACUUGUUUGGUAAUUAAUUUUUAUAUAUAAAUUUAUAUCUUAUCCAUUUGGUAAUUAAUAUUUUUAGCUUGAUUUAAUAAGCAAUUUUAGGUGAAAUUAUUUCUUUCUAGAUUUAUGUAUGAGAGAAAAUAUUUAUAUUUCUUUUUAUUAUUUUGCUAUUAUUAUUGUGAUUUAUGUCUAAGAGAAAAUCUUUGUAUUUCUUUUCAUUAUUUUGCUAUUAUUAUUUUUUACUUGCAAUUAAAAUUUUUUUUUUGGUCUUUUCUUACAAUCUGUAGGAUAUUCUAUCAAAAAACUCCGACAUUGAAAUUUACAAAGCUCAAUAAUUUACUUCUUAAUCUGUAAAGAGGGGUCACCUCUAUUUUUAUUUAAUGCAAAUAAUAUAUGGCUUUCUAUAACAACAAAGUUAUCAAUUUCUCGAUUUUUUAAACAAAUAUUAAUAAACUCUUUAAACUUUCUAUUGAAUAAUAAAACAAAGUAGAUGAAAUAUAAUUAUCUAAUGGGAAAAAAUAUCAGAAUUUAAACACAAUGUCAUUAUAAUGGCAUUAGAGGUAAAGUUCGGCAAAAUUAAUUUCUUCAAUUUUUUUAACUCUCUCUUAACUUUUUCUUGGCCUUCUAAAAAUGGCUUAAAACUGUAAUAAAAAUGAUUUUCAUCAAGUUUAAAAAUGUUUGAACAAACUCCCUUAAUUGGGAUACAAAAUACCAACUUAACUCUGAGGAUUACUUUUUCUUUUGGCUAUGGAAUUCAAAAUAAAAAGACUAAGAGCAUUAGAAAUAUGUUUAAAAAAAUAAAUAAAAUAUUACUCUUGAAGAAAUCAAUUGCUUAAUUAGUUGGUGUUCCCUCCUUUAAGCCUUAUUCGAAAAUAAAUAAAGUAAAAGAGAAUUAUAAUAUAAGAGAAAAUAUAAAAAGAACUUAAAGUAUGUCUAUUGGCUUUAUUUUCCACAUAUUUUUCUACUUUUGGGGUGUUUGAUUGACAUAUUUUUUUCAUGAAAAAUAUUUUAUAACUUUGGAACAUGUGACUAUAUUUUCCUUAAAAAUAAGGAAAAUAUUUUUUAGGGAGACUUGGUUUUUUAUUUUUCAUAUAAUUCACCUUUCAAUAAAAAAUAGACAAGUAUAAUAUUUUUUAAGUUAAAACUAAAUCAAUCACACACAUUUAAUUAUUAAUUUGCAUACAAAAAAGUUUUAGACAAUUUAAUUGUCUACAAUUUAUUUUCAUUCCAAUCAAAUUUCAUGUUUAUAAUCAAACACACCCUUAUUUUAAUUUGAAGUAUUUGAAUUUACAAAGAUUGCCAGAGGAUAUUUUUUAGUAUAUGUGUUAUAUGGUUUGCUGUGUUUUUUGGUGCAUGUUCUAUUGUAUGUAGUAUAGGUAUUUAUAGAUACUGGUACAUUACGUUUAUUCCUUUAAAAAGUAAUCAAUACUGUAUAAUUUUACAGAUAUGUGAUUUAUAAUUAAAGAAUUAAAUGUUACUUUAAAGCUGUAUGAAAAUAAUAAAGAUACUUCUGAAAACUUCAUCUUCACGCUCAUCCUUUUUUUACUUUUUUUUUUGGUUUUUGAUAAUUGUUCGUCGAGUACUAUUCAUUUAUCCUUGCUUAGUCUUUUUUUUUUUCAAGUAUUGUACUAUUUGUCCAUGAUCUCUAUGUAGACAUCUUCUAGAUCUGCAUCCAUUUCAUUAGUUUUGCCAUCGGACAUCUACUCUUCUUCUGUAUUUGAUUGACUUUCAGUUAAUUCCCCAUUUGUUUCUUGAAAACGAUUAGAUAUAACUCUUUUUGUUGAAUAUUUGGUACUGAAAUUUUUCUUUCUUUAACUCUUAUAACAAGAUGUUCUUGACAGAAAAUAACUCUAUUGUUUCACUAUGCUAUAAGUCUGGAAUCAUUAUUUUGAACUUCGACCAUUGUUGCAGCUUUUGAGAUUCGUCUUUCGUAAUCAAUCUGUCUAUUUUUAUUUUACUAUUUGUCUUCAAAGAAGGUAUAAAUCUUUUGGUUCAUUCGUAUAUUAGAAUAUAACAAUAAACUGGAAUUACUAUACCAUCAUUUACAAGAGGUGGUCUAAAAAUGAAUUGGAUCAUUAAAUGGUGAUUUUUAUAUUGUAAACCAAAUAAAUAUAAUGACAAAAAGAAAGACAAAAUUUGUAGAUAUGCUACUGGAAAAUAUGAGAUAAAAGGAAAAUACUUAACUAGUUUAGAUUAUGAAACAUUGGCCAUUAUACAUAGCGUUGAAAACUUUAAAUUAUUUUUAAAUACUGAAUUUACAAUUAGGAUAGAUUGUGAAGUUAUAGUAAAAUUUAUUAAAAAGACAAAUUUUGAUAAAAAUAAGAUAUAAAAGAUGGUUGAAAUUGUAUGAAAUAUUGAAUGGUUAUAAAAUCAAUAUAGAACAUAUAGACAGAAAAAUAAUAUUUUGGCAAAUAAUUUAAGUAGACGAGCUAUUAAUUUUUUAACCAAUUAUUUUCAUGGAGUAGAUGAAUUAAAGAAUGAUGAAUUUUAGAAAUGUCACUCUAAUAGUGGCCUCACAAGGAUUUAAUCUCUGAUUUAGAGGAAAUAAUUUAGAAAAACUUUUAGAAAUGAAGUGUUGUCUACUAGAUAAUCUCUAAAUGACAAGCGACUCUAAAAAUAGUAAUAAUAAUAAAAAAAUAAAAAAAUUAUACAGCAUUAAUGCUCUAACUAAUCAUUUCAGAAAAAUAUACAGUCGAGUAGAAAACAUAAAUUUUAGUUUCUUUGCAAUAAUUAAUGGUAGAAAUCUUGAUGUAUAUAAUUACUUGCCCGAAGUAUUACAACAAGUAGAAAUAUUUUUGGACCCAUUUUUCAAAAGAUUUUACACAUUAGAAGAAGCUUUAAAUUUAUGUAGAAAAAUGAUAGUAUUUAAAUUUUAUAUAUCUGAAAGAGUUAGACAGACUAAGACAAUGCAAACCGCAACUUCUAAAUUAUCUUCAUCUUUAUCAAUACAACUUUGCAAUAGUUGUGAAAAUUAUGACCAAGGUUGUUAGAGAUUUGAAUCGUAUAAAGCAUUCACUAGAAUAAAGACUACAAGUCCUUGAAGUUGAAGUCUUUUCAUCUCAACAAGCCAUUAGUAAAUAUCAAAAUGAGAUUAUUCAGUUACAAGAUAACUUAAAAAAACUCAGUUCUAGAGAUAUUGUUGAAAGACCCAUCUCUAAAGAUAUUACUUGUACAAGUUAAAAUUAUUCUGAGAAGGAAUUAUAUUUGUGUUUUUAUUAUUUUGUUUUUUAGGUUUAAAAGUACAAAUUUUAAAAUGAAGAAAAAAUGUAUUAGCAGGUUGGAUUGAUUAAUUGACGGAUUGGUUGCUCAAACGAUAACCAACUCGACCCAACUUUUUCAUGAUUAAAAUUAAUCGAACCAAAUCGAUUUCUUGGUUCAAAUCAACCUAAAUUGACCUGACUUGAUUUGGUUUUGUUGGAUUGAUUGAUUUUUAUUUUUGCCAAUCCUGACGAAAAAGCACAAUUCUGUAAAUAAUAUAUAGCUCUUGAAGAGCUAAUAUUUCUAAAUAAUGGUUUAUUGUUGCUCAUAAAGUCGCACAACAUUAUAAUUAAUAUUUCAGAAAAAAUUAUUUGUUCUUGAAAUGCAUGAAUUGUAAUAUUCUGUAUCCCAGAAGAAUAUUGACAUAUUACUUUUGAAGAACUUGAAUUAACACAUGCAUCGAAGAAUAUGUCAUUUUGAAUUAGUGUUUAUCCUUAUGAAAACAUAUAACAUUUGUCAUGUUGAUAUUGAUUAAUUUGACUACCUAAUUGAUUAUUAUAUGAUUAUAUAAUGUUUUAUCAUAUUUCUUUGAAAUUUAAUUGUGUUUCAUUUAUUUUCAUUGUUUAGCUAUUCAAAUGGCAAGCAUUACAAAACUCGGGAUGAAUUGCCAAAAUACAUCUUUAGUUGAUAGUGUAACUACUAUGCUAUUCUUCAAGACAAAGGUAUUCUUUUGGACUUAACAUUAAUAGAAAACAAUGUUAAUACAAUAUCAGAUGCAUCAAAUAUCGUUAAAAGUUCUAGAAGAACUUGUAUUAUUUUAUCAAAUAAAUACAAAAUGAUAUGUUGACGAUACACAUUAUUCUAGCAUGUCUGGGAGAUAAUUGCUUAGUUUUUUUUUUUUUAUCCAAUUCUAGAUAUCACAUUGGAAUUAAUCAAACAUUAUUACCAAUCCGAGGUUCGUGGAUUUAAAAAGUUUUAUACUUUUGCAUGACUAGUUAGACUAUCACUAGAUCAAUAAUGAUGUGAACAAUUAUUAAGAAUUUAAAUGGAUAUUCAAUAAAAAAAAACUAGGAAAUUUUUCAGCCCAGUGAAUUCACAUAUGAUGCUUGUUCUUUGUAUCACAAACUUAUCAUUGACCAUCACUAGGUAAUGUUGGAAUUAAAUCCUCGUAGUCUUGAAAAUUAACUAGGAUGAUAUAUGGGCGUCUUACCAUCCUUCACGUUGACCAUCUAGAUAUUUUUGUAUUUAAUAAAUGUAAUACAUCUAAUAGAUGAUUGCAUGGUAUUCGCAACUCGAAUUUUACAAAAUUGUUGUUAAAAUUUAAACUAUUAGCAUAAUUUUCAGAUUAUAUAAUCAAGACAAUGUGUCUUAUUAAUACUAGUGAGCUUAAAUGUCAACAUUUUAAUAAGUGUUAGUUGAGAUAUCAAUAAAUGGUAUACUGUUACUUGUUAAACGCAUCCAAUCAAUUUCUUAAUCAUUAUUAUUGAAAAUAAAGUACUUUCCAUUUUUGUUUAGAGAACAUUAUAUAUCAUGCCAACAUCAAAGUUCUCCCUAUUAUAAUCGAUUUAUGGUUAGAGUCUAAUAUUUUUCAGGUAAUAAUUUUUGAAAGUGCAAUAUAUGUAUAAUUGUUUAAUUGCGGUGCAGUGAGACGGAUAUUGAAGAAUGUUGAUAAUACAAGUUCAGUUUGAACCCUUAUAAAAUAUCUUAAUCUCUAACAGAUGAUAUUUUAUAACAUGAUUUUAUUUGAUUAUCAAUUUGAUUGAGCAGUUUUCUCCGGGGAAGGAAUUAAGAAGUUAGAAAUAAUGUACAAAUGCAUCAUUAUAUAUCUAGAUUCUCGUAAAAGAAAAUUUGAACCCAAAGUCUGAAAAAUAAUUCACCUAGAUGCCUUUGUUUGACUAAAGAGAUUAACAAUAUUUUAUACACAAAAUUUAAAUGCUCAAACUUGAAUUGACUACUGGAAGGACAAUUUAUUAAUAUUAUAUUUGAUAUAUUAAUAAUACGUCUGAAGUAUGACGACAUUCGAUUCAAAGCCUAAUUCUCUAAAAAGAAAAACGAAGCAAAGUAAGGGAGAUGAUCCUAUUUAGGAGGCAUAUAUUCUUAAAGAACAUAUAAAUAAAACUAAUUAUUAAAGAAGAAAUGGAAUCGAAAAAGAAAAAGGUUAUCGACAACACUUUUUUCAAUAAUGUAUUCAUAUUAUGAUAACGAGGAAUCGAAAGCGAAGUAAUGAUCAGCCAAUAAAAGGGCACGAUUCUCUAGUAAAUUUGAAUUUACUAGAAAGGGUAAUUAGCACACAAGGUUCCUGCCUUUCAAUGUUAUUUUACAAAACGUUUAUACAUUUUAUUUUUUGACAUUUUUGCCCUUAUUUCAACAUUCGUUGGAGAAAACGUCACUUUCACCAUUUUUUAAUGUAAAAUAAUCAAAAUACUCUUCCAUUUAAAUAAAAGAAAAAAUAAAGAAUAAAUUAUAGAACGUUCCUACAUUUCAAAUUGGUGAAAAUGACAUUUUUUGUAAUAAAACGUGAGAGUAGAGAUGAAAACGCAAAAAAAAAAAAAAUGAAAGGUAGUGAUGUUUUCUGCAAGAAGUGUCAAAUAAUAUUUGCGUUUUCGUCCCUAUUUCCACGUUUCAUUACGAAAAAUGUCAUUUUCACCAAUUUGAAACGUAAGGACGUUUUUCACACUAUAGGCCAAACGUGGGGACGUUUUGUGCUAUUAGGUCUUUUAAUAAUUAUUUGGACUCACUUGCACUUUUUAAAACAUUUAGGAGUAAGAUUGUAAUUUAUUAUUUAUUUUUCUUUUUUUUUGAUUUUAUUUAAAUGGGAGGGUCUUUUGGUUAUUUACAUUAAAAAAUAGCGAAAAUGACAUUUUCUGCAAUGAAAUGUUGAAAUAAGGGCGAAAAUACCAAAAAAUGAAGGGUAUGGAUGUUUUGCACAAUAACAUUGAAAUGUAGAAACCUUUUGUGCUAAUUUCCCAUACUAGAAAAAUUAGAAGUUCCUGGACCUGCAGUCCGAAUUGUUGAUAAAAUCUUAUAUAAAAAUGAUAAUGCUUGAAGAUUAUGAUAAGACAGUAUGAAAUGUACUUCAACAAUUUUGAACGAAGACAAUAUAGUUUGUAUUACACAACUCGAAGGAGACUAUAUUAAAGGGGCAAGACGAAUCAUAUUUAUUUAAAAUUCUUCCAUACACAUGAGCUACAGAAGAAUGUUGACAUCGAUGUUCAACAAAUUCGCUCUAGUGACAAUAUAGUUGAAUUAUUAACAAAAGUACUGCUGAUAUCUAUAUUCUAGAAAUUGAUUCACAAGAUUGGGAUGCAUCGACUCAAAUAUUUUUAGUGAUCAAUAUCAAGGGGAGUAUCAGUACUCUUUUUCCUUCUCUUAAUUUUUAUCCCAUUAGAUUUUUCUGACAAGAUUUUAAUGAGACAACAUUUACUUUUAAUACUUCAAAACAAUCGUACUAUUUUUCCUUAAUUUGAUAUUUUCAUCUCAUUGAAUUUUUAUUGGAUAAGACGUUAAUGAAGCAAAUAUUUUGUAAUGUAUCAUUUAAUGGGAGUGUUAUAUAUAUAUAUAUAUAUAUAUAUAUAUAUAUCUUUUUCUCUUUAAUUUAGAGAGAGAGAGAGAGAGAGAGAUUCUAGAAUUUUUAUUGCAUUUUCAUUUUAGGGUUUGUUAAUGAUUAUAGUAUGUUUUGGGCCUUUUGGCUCAUUUACUUAACCGCUUAAUGUUAAAUUGCUCAUGAGAAUCUCCAAAAACUAUUUUAUGAGACACCAUCUAUUUUAAAAAGUCAAAUUUAAAAAUUAUGAUCCAAGAUACUAUUUAAAUUAACAUUUUCAUUUAGAGAGUGGAUAAUUUGGAGAGCCAAACUCACCCUCUAUAAUUAAAUGCAUUUACUCUGCUAGGGAAACAUGUUGAUUAUUCAGGUCGUUUCAAAGUGUUUCAAUUUUUAAUAUAAUAAAAUAAUCUAGAUAAAACCAGUUAAAAUAAAAGAUAGAGAAAAAUAAUAAAUAUUUUUGGGCGCAAUAAAAUUAAGUGUUAAUAUAAAGAGUUUGUUUGAGUACUUCAAAAUUUUAACUCUUUGAGUUUAUAGAUUCUUUUCAAAUGAUAGAAUAUACUUUUUAAAAAUAGAAAAACUCUUGAAGAUACUUUUAAUGAAUGCUAAACAUGGAUUUUAAAAUGCUAUUUAAAUUAAUAGAAUUUUUCAAUAUAAUAUAUAAUCUAUUUAUUCAUUUAUUAUCCUAAGACCCUCAAACUUUUUUGGGUAGAUGAUUGGGUCGAUUUUCAAAUAUUGAAUCAUAUUAAGGCUUAAUUCACACCACAUUUUAAUUGAAUGAAAUAUUCAUAAUCUUUAGUUAUUAUCAUACCUAUUUCCCCAACCUUUUUUGUUGUAUUCUUAUCUCGAGUUUUUAAUUAAUUAGUACAUCUUGUCUCUGAUAAUGAUUUCUCUCAAAAAACUUUUUAAGAGGGAAUAAAAAGAUAUAUUUACCCCUAGUUUAUUUAAUAAGCAAAACAAUAAAAAUAAAUUCAAAAUUUUGUUAAAUACUUGUCCAUCAUUUUAAAAUACAAUAACAAAAUUUUUAGAUGAAAAUGGUCAUUAAGGACAAGAUUUAAUAAUUGAUGAAAGAUUAAUGAUAAGAAUGUGAUGAAAAAGUUAAGAACAUAAAUGUAAUAAUAAAUAAAGAUUAAAGACCAAUAAUACAAUUAAAAUGUGGUGUAUUUAUAAAAAAAUUUGGUGCGAAUAUAACCAUCCCAAUAUUAAAGGGGAAUGGUUGUAGAGACAACAGAGUAAUCUAGGAAACGUUGGGGUCGACAAUGUCAAGAAAUGAAAGUUAGAAAUAGAAGCACAAAAUGGAGUAAACAUUUGGGGCAAGAGCCACAAUUUAUCCAUUUCUAUAUGUUUAUGUAACUCCAUUUUAUGAAAAGGAUUCUCAUGUUAUGAUGUCAAAGAUUCAUUUCCAUACGAAUAAUAUGCCUUGGACUUAUAUAAUUUUAUACUUUUUAUUGAGAAACAUUAUUUUUAUUAUGAAAAUAAUUUGUGCUCUUUUUAACGUUAUAUUUCUUCCAUAUUGCAUUUCACUUCUGAUUACAUGCUACCAUUAACAUAAAAAGGGAACAAUUGGCAUAGACAAUUGUAAAAUGAGUUGAGACACUUUGUUUCUUCUUAAUUUUUGUUAUCUUGGUGCCUCACUUUUUGUUUGUACAUAGAAAUAUAUCAUUUCAAAGGCAAUGUCUUUUGUAGUACACUAUUUUGACAUCAUUCUGUGUUCUAACAACGAGUGAUAUGUCAAGAUAUUAAAUAUUUACUGGACAAAUAACUAAUAGAACAGCUAAACAAAACAAUAUCAGCUUAUUGCAAAUCCGUACAUUAUAGAGCAAACAAGCUCUAAAUGAAUAAAAUACACAAAGUCAUACGGUUUUGAUCGAAAUUUAUUCAGUGUAAUGGUCUCUCGUAGUCGUUGACUAAUGCAGUGAUAUGAUUGAAAUGAGUUUUAAAGGUAAAUGAAAUAAUGAAACGAUUUCAAAAUUUAAUAUUUUCAGUGUCAUGUAGGAUUUUCUGUUAGAUAUGAACGGUCAACUAACUUGGUGGUCCAAGAAAAAUGGGAUUAACAAUUCUGCUUGUAUAAUUAACUCUUAAUAAGAAUACAUAUACCUAAAUGAUAAAAUAUGCAAUGCGUGCAUUGACCUUGGACUAUUACCUUCCACCGGGCCCCACAAACACUGUGUAUUCGCAUAUUCCUUUUUGAAUCAUAUAAUAUACGGACACGAUUAUUCAUUGAAACGAUUGAUUGCCCUCAAUAAUUAUUUAUUUAUACCUUAUAAAUCCAGUUUCACAUUGAUUGACGAUUAUAUUUAUGCAAAAUUCAUAUUAUUUUUAUCUUAACAAAAAGCGGUAAGGCUAUAGUGAGAAAAACAAGAAAUAAGUAGCAAAUAAAUAAUAACUUAUUCGUACUGACAGAGAAACUGCUCAUAUUUGAAAGCAUAUUUUUGUAUGAAACUUUAUAUAAAAUCAUUUUUGUUAAUGAGAUUAGUAUUUGAUUAAGGGAAACUUGCAGUCAAUGUACCAAAUCUUUCGUUUAUUAGUAAACUGUGUCCAAACCAUUCAUUUGUUCCACCGUAGAUACCAAAUCUUUUCAAAAUUCACAUUUCAAGUUCAGAUUGANNNNNNNNNNNNNNNNNNNNNNNNNNNNNNNNNNNNNNNNNNNNNNNNNNNNNNNNNNNNNNNUUUGACCCCCCCCCCCCUCCCCCCCAAAAAAAAAUCUUUAGUUGACCUCAAAAAUUAAAAAAUCUAAUAAUUUUGACCAAGUAAGGCAAGGGUAAAAUUGUAACUUUAUAAAUUUAAUAUGAAAAAAAUAUAAAAAUUGUUUAAAAGGGAAAAUAAAAAAUCCUAUCUCCUUCUUCAAAACAAAACAAAAUGGCAAGUUGUGUUGGGUAUUUAGGUGCUAUGCCGGCAAUGUGGAGCUAGAUCGGAGGUGAUGUAUACAUGAUACGUAAAGUGUGGGUGGUAUAUGAACUAAACUGGUGGCUCGCGAUGAUUGAAGGUUUAGGCGAAAAUGCGACUGGAAAUCAUACGCACAAUAGCGUCAAGUGGGAUGAACAAUAAGGGAAGAUGGCGACGAAUUAGUAGCGGUGCAUAGUGGUUCAGUCUGGUAUUAGGUUGGUUGGGUGUAGGCGGAGGAUGGUGGUGCAUUGGCGGUGUCGGGGGUUGUAGGAUGAGUCAUGGGUUGUCGUGUAGUUAUGGAUGGGAGUUUGGAUUGGUGUGGUAUGGUGGUCAAGCCGUGGGUGAAGUGGUGGUGCCGGUGGACAUGGAUGAUAACUUAAACCUCGCCUUCAACCUACAAGCCAUCUACGGACCCAACGUUGACCCAAUCCAACCUCAAAGUCAACAACCUAGCAACUCAACUAGGGUGGGUGAGGACGAAAGACCUGAGAUCGAUUUGCUUGAAUUUUUUGGCUGGACGAGUCCCAUGUGCUUGCCCGGAGCUGGAUGAGAAGCUGGAGGAGGAGGUGAGUGGGGAUAUUCUAGGUAAGAAAUGUGUUCGGACUACUAGGAAUCCGGUUGCGACCAUGGCUCGGUGUCAGGUUUCGGAGUGCGAGACCGAUAUUAGCGAGCUCAAAGGGUACCGUAGGAGGCAUUGGAUUUGCUUGCGGUGUGCCAAUGUGAUUGUGGUGAUCAAGUAGUGGGUGAGGCGGUGAUACCAGGGGCCGGCAACUGGAUGGAGGUGGUUUUGAUUUUGGGGUAAGGGGAAUUAGCAAAAUUGAAGGAGGAGAUGGGAUUUUUUAUUUUUCUUUUUAAAUAAUUUUUAUUUAAUUUUAUAUUAAAAUUAUUAAGUUACAAUUUUAUCCUUGUCUUACUUGGUCAAAAUUAUUAGAUUUUUGAUUUUUGAGGUCAACUGACGGUUUUUGGGGUCAAACUAAUUGAAACUAUCAAUCUGGACUUUAAUUGCGAAUUUUGUAAAGGUUUGGUAUCUAUGGUGACACAAAUGAAAUGUUUGGGUAAAGUCUGCUAAUAAACGAAAGGUUUGAUACUUGGUUGCAAUUUUUCAUUCGAUUAAUUAGAUGUAAUUUUAUUAGGAAACACAUGCCAAAAAUAAGCUCCUUUUUGGGCUUCAUUUUAUUCAAAUUGUAUUUUUUCUUUCUUCUUGUUAAUCGCGUUUUUCAAUAAAAUAAUAUCAUAUGUAAUUUUUUUUUAAAAAAAAAUCAAACAUUCUUUUAAAAAUUACUAUUUAUAAAUAACUUUUUCCCAAAAUUUAAUUUUAGCGGAGACAAAAAAGGGCUUCCAUUAAAAAAAAAAAAAGAAGAAGAAUAAAAUGAUUACUUCUAAGAUUAAUACAGUAAGGCCCCGUUUGAUUGCAUGAAAUUUUCCAUGGAACUUGAAAUUAGAAUUCCAACUUCUACUUUUGACCUGUUUGAUUAACAAAAUUUUUCAGGGAAUUGAUUUUUCAUGAAUUUUUAGAUACAACACCUUAAAGCGUGAUUUUCCACCUUUUAUUUUCCAGGGGUAGGUGAUUUUUGGUUUUCUAACUUUUUUUUUUUGCUUUUUGUUUUUUUUAAUUGUUGGCAAUGAGAACAAAUUCUAGGAACAAUUGUAAAAGAGGAUAUCCUUGAAAUUGACAAUUCUCAUGUAAAACAAAGUCAAACGAAUACCAAAAUAUAGAUGAUUUUUUGAUUUUUUUUCCUUUUUUUUUUUGGUUGGCAAUGGAAACAAAUUCUAGGAACAAUGGUAAAAGUGGAUAUCUCUUAAAUUGACAAUUUUCAUGUAAAACAAAAUCAAACGAACACAAAAAAAUACUUUUAUUUUAACAUUUUUCACAUGAAAAAUUAUACCAAUCAAACACAAUAAUUUAUAAUUUUCAGAAAAAUUUUUUUAGAUAAUUUAAUUCUUUAAAAUUUAUUUUCUUUCCAUCCAAAUUUUAUUUUCGCAAUCAAAUAGACGCUAACCCUAAAAGAUGAAUACAAGAAUAUCUGUUGCAUUGUUCAUAAAAGUCAAAGUCGGAGAAAGUCACAACAACUUUCAUUGAUUUAACGUUUUUCAUCAGUUUAUAACUUGUCGUUUGAUGGUUUUUUAACCCAAAAAAUCUUCAAAAGCCAAAAGCAUUGGUCCACUCGCAGCUAUUUUAGAACGGAAAUUACUAGAUUUCGUCAUCAAGGCUUCGAGUCUUUCUCCAGCCGGAAAAAAUGGCGUCAAAUCUUACAAUAAGUACCGUAGAAGGGAAUUCCGAUUACGGUUUUGGUUCAAGAGUUCAUUAUCAAGAUCAGUGGGGGAAUUUCAGCAGUGGUGGGAUUAUUUCUGAAAUUGAAGAAGAGUUUUCAAAUGAAUUGUUAGAGAUAAACAAUGAAGUUCCUUUGAAUACGAUAAGUGAAGAAGUUGAAGGGAGUGUAUUCUCGUUUGAUUUUCACAAUAGGGAUGAUGUUGUUUAUGUUGUAGUAGGGACGAGUGAAGAACCAAGCAUGGAUGCACUUAAGUGGACUCUGAAAAAUGCUGUGAAUCCUUCAUCAACUCUUGUUUCUCUGAUUCAUGUCGUUCCUGAGACAAAAUACAUCCCUACACCAUGUAAGUUCUCUCUCUCAACUUACACAUUCCCUAGUGAGAAGUUUGAGUUAGGUUUACCGGCAGUCAUUCACAGCCCGGAUUUUAGGUUCGCCAGUCACGACCUUUCUUUUGGCAUCCGGGUCCUAACCAAACUUCACUUUUUCGGCUAUUGAGGAUCGGGUAGGGUGCGCCAACAAAUUUUGACCCCUCUUACUUGCACACGAACAAAAGCGAAAAAAAUGUAUUGUUCUACAGUUGAGGCAGUGGAUUGCUUGGUCAUGUUUGCAGCCACUGGUUGCUGUUAACAUUUUGUGAUGUAGCUGUAUCUAACACUAAACAUAAAUGUUUGUGUAACAGGUUAUUUAGGUCGACAACGAACAGAGGAACAAAAGUAUAGUAUUACAGACAAUCUAUUUAGACUUAAAACUUAUGCUAGCUCAUUGAAGUCUUAAGAAGAUCAGUUUUGCUUGGUGUAUGUCAAGUUUGAUAUCAUGGAUGACAUUGUGUGAAUUGACAGCUUAUUGUAAAUUGAUUGAGACAACAUUCUUUUCAAACAACGAUCAUAUUUUCUACACAAAGGGGAUUUCAUCCAAGAUGUCGACCAUGAAUGUACAAGUAGCUUAAUUGUACGAAGAUUUAUGAACUUGUUCUAGAAAAUUAUAGUUAGCUUUGUUUAUCACUCGUAUAUGCCUUAUCAUGUUAAUAACAAGUCGAUUUCUGUUGCAUUUGUUGAUAUCGACUCAAACGAGUUAACCUGGAAAGGGGGUUGGAAUUGCAACUAAGCAAACUAUAUGUAUAUCCUUGUGUGACAGUGGGAAAGCUUCCAAUUAGUCAAGUGAACCCGGAGCAGAAGGAGAAAUACAUGGCUCAAGAAAGCGAAAAGAGGAGAGAAUUCCUUCAAAAGUUUCAGGAUGUCUGUAUUGCUUCACAGGUAUCAGAUAAUCUUAUCAUCAACUUGUACCAAUUAUCUAAUAACACAUUACAAACAGUAUAUGGAAAGUUAAAAAUAAACACGUCCAAGUAAAUUGACGCAGUAAAUUCACACGAUAACAUACAUUGCAAAGUAAAGUAUUGAAUGUUCAAAAACAUUACUCAGUAACAUCAAUGCUUGUCACGUACAGUUACGUGUUCAAAUUAUUUGGAGAAUCAUGAGCUAACAAUGUGCUUUUAUGUUAAAAGGUGACGGUGGAUAUCAUACCUAUUGACAGUGACAUGGAGGCAAAAGCUAUACUGGACCUAAUUCCCGUCCUCAACAUCAGAAAGUUGGUUCUGUGCACCACUAAGUCUAAUCUAAGGUACAGUAUCAAUUGGUUCAGCCAUUAACUAUUUUCGAAACUUUCUUUUCGCUUUUAUCAAUUAUUUUACGUAGAUUAUUGUAUGCGAGUGUUCCAGGAAACUGAGGUCUAAGAAAGCCAGUGGUGGAGCUGAUAAGAUACUACAAGAUGCACCAGAAUACUGUGAAGUUAAGCUCAUAUGUGGAGGAAAUGAAAUAACUGACCUGAAGUUUGAGUCCCCUUCUGCUUCUCCUUCUCCCUCUCCCUCUCCACGGGCUGCCGACCGAAGUCCCAAACCUGUGCAAGAGCAAGAGCAAGAGCAAAGCAAUAAUGACUCCUUUUCAUGUGGGUGCUUCAGGCCUAAGACUAGAUUCUGAAUGCUAAAAGAAUCUAAUGGGAAUAGCUCAGUAUGGGAGAUCUUAAGGUGGCUUCAUUUUAACUGUUUUGCAAUUAACCACAAUGUAUAAAAAUUAUUGAAAGUACAGGCAGGAAAGUCUGAACUAUGCUGUAUCCAAAGAUGAUAAGCAAAUUUCAUUUUUUUUUAACCAAAAAAAAUAAAAGUAAAAUCCUUACUUCUUUCAACUUUUCAAUCUUCCUUUUGUUUUUAACAAAAGCCCACUUGCUAAAUCAUAAGAGCGCACAACAAUUGAAACGAAACAAAGGAAUAGAGUGUGACAUAUUCAUCGAAGAUCGAGCCUUAUAGUGCUCAUCAGGUUUCAAGAAGCAGACCAGAUUUUUCAUUACCAUGCAUUUGUCCUCAAUUUACUCUUGAAUACUAUAUACAAAAUAGUAAAUCAAUUCCAAUUAAGCCCCUGUUAGAGCAUCAUUUUUUUUCCAAACUCAUUUUCAAUUGCACAUUCUUCCAAUAUAAUAAUUUUGCAUGUAAAUUCAAAACUUUUCACUGCUUUUAAUCAUAUAUUCUUUGAAAAACCAACAUUACAACACUCAUUUUUCUGAAAAAUGAGGCUCAAACAGAGCCUAAAGGUACUAUCGCAUCUACAUUUGUGGCUUAUAGAGGAUUUAGCGCAGUGUCUGGUACAAAUGUCAGCACAUACUAUCUAGAUUUGGUCCUACACUGCCUGGAAUUCAAGAAACUUUUCCCAGAAGGAUACAUAAAAACAUUAUACAAAGUGCAUUUCUAUUGUCAAAGUUCACCGUGUUCAAAUGCAAUCAAUCCCAGUCCUCCCAAAUUAAAACUUCCCCAUGCUGCGUGGAUCUGGAAGACUGGAACCAUGCAAGUUGAGGGAGGUCUUGAUCAAUUGGCAUUCAUAAUCUAUGACAGGCAGCAACAACAGAUAUCCAACUCUAAAUCAACCCGGUACUACAUAGAAAUCUCACAAACCUGAUCAUUAACAUCCUGGAUUUUCCAUAACAUUUGUUUUGCGUAACUUAAAAAAUCAAAUUCCAACAAUUCUCUCAUAUUCAACAGGCUUGGAGAUUUCAGGAUGGGUGGCACAACCUAUUAGCACACAAUUAGCUCCUUCAAAGAAAGGGUGUUGCUUAAUCUCAGUUGAGCCUCUUUUAUAAGCCGACCUGUGCCGUGGUUCUUUCACUAGCAGAACCCUGAUCAAAUCCCCGAAGGCGAAAUUGACAAUUAGAGAUUCUGGAAAACGAAGAGGCUAGCCAACAACAUUGAAUCGUGUGUCUCGAUUACUAGAUCCUUUAAAUGGAGUUUUGCCAAACAUAAGUUCAUAUAGAAAGAUCCCAAAAGUCCAUCAGUCCACCGCACUUCCAUGACCUUCACCUUCGAUAAUUCAGGUGCCAGAUAUUCACGAGGUCCCACAAAUGACAUUGACUGUGCAUUGGUUGGUUCAACAAUCAGCUUGGGCAAUGGGGUAACUUGGUUUCCAAUUCCACUUUUGGGUUUGCUAUUUUUCUUGGUUUUGCUAGAAAAGAGCGGGGGGAGAAGAACAACACAUGAUGGCUGAACGCAGGCAGGUUCAAUGCAAGCUGGUUGGAUGCAAUACGUAGAAUUUUUACUCAUGGGUUCCGACUCCAAGGAUGGUGUCGUGACCAAAGUUGGACUGACUUCGUAAUGAAGUGAAAGAUCAAAAUCUGAGAGUAUUACCUGUCCAUCAUCCCUCACAAUGACAUUCUCAGGCUUAAGGCCACGAUAGACAAGCCCGAGCACGUGUAGAUAUUCUAGAGCAAGCAGGAUUUCCGCAAUAUAAAAUCUGCAACAAGGGAAUUAGUAAUUAUCAGAGUAUUGACUGCACGAUAGAUGUUUUUAACAUAAAAAUACAUGUCCAUUGCUUGAAAAGGUACUGCUGAUUAGAUAGAUCAAAUGAUGAUAGCAUCAAGGAUCAACUUUCUAAUAAUACUGAUCGACCCAAACUUCCCCGAACUUUGUGAUUGAGUAAUAAAACAUUAAAUACAAGACAUUCAGAUUAAAACACUACUACUUUUCCAACGUUUAUCAAUGGUUGUUACUUCCAAUUACAGUUCAAUUUCAAUCUCAAAGCUGGAGAUAAGAUCAAAGACCACUUCGCCAUUCUUUUGCCUUUAAUUGUCCUUAUUUUAGCCUAUAUUUGACAACCCUUAUUUGAAAACAUUUUUUUCUAUGUACUAAUUUUUAAUCACACGUAUACAUAAUAAAAUAUUUUGCACGUAAAUCCAAAAAUUUCCCUUACUUUUUAAUUGCACAUUUUCUUAAAAAUUACUAUUCAAAACCCAAAUAUUGGCUGCCAAACAAGGGCUAAUGUCAACUAAUUGAAAUAACAGUUUCCGAUGCCUGUCAACUUUUGAAGACAAAUCUUUGUAAGAAUUUCAGACAAGAAAGAAGUGCCAGGAAAUUUACAAGUAUUGCCAACAUUUAACAUACUUCCAUUGUCAAGGAAAUUGAUGAUUCACUCAAGGUUACAAAUUUUUUUAGUUUUGCUCGCUCUAUUAUGUACAUUAACAACACAGAUUUCUUGUACUAUUAUAUCAAAACUUGUUGAAAAAAUGAUUAUGAAAUGGGUCAACUUUGAGCCCAAAUUUCAGUAGGACCCACUUUUUAAUUAAUACGGGACCUAACAUAUCCACGUUCUACUUCACGAGAUGAUUAACGUGAUAUAUUUAUUUGUCGAAAACCAUUUAGAAUUGAAUGAAAUAUUAAGUGUUAAAGUAAUCCACAUAAAACUAAGUAUUAUGGAAGAAUUUGAUUUUCCAAACACUUAUCCCACAUAGGAAAGUUAGAAAACUUUGGUGUGAUUUAUAAGGUGAUAGUUUGGGAAUUGGGUUUGGGCCUCAAGUGGUACCAAUAGUCUUUGAAAGGGGGAAGACUUAUAUUCUAUUAGAUUCGAUCAUAAACCCACACGCGAGCGCCGCCGUCCUUCCGUCCGUCCGGCCGGCUCGGCACGUGUCUGAGAUCGAAAUUUUUUGGACAAAAUUCAUUUAAAUUUUUGGGCCAAAUUAUAAAUAAUCAAAAUUUUGGGUACAUUAUGAAAUUUAAAUUUUGGCUUAUUCCGGGUGAUUUUUUGGUCUGAAUGGACUAUUUAACAGUCGUCUUUUAACUGACCACACAGUCGACUGUUAGCCGACUGUUAACAGACGUGACUUUAGAACAACAUGUCUGUUCCGAAUUUUUGAGGUUUGUCUCAAAGGUGACGACUGUUUGAAUGACCACGAACAAGUCUAUAAAUAGCUUGCUUCUCUGCUAGAAAAUUUACACAAUUUUCAUUGCAAACUUUCUGUGCUUUGAAUCUUAUUCUCCUCUCUCUCGUUCUGAUAUUGUUUCGAAGUCAAAUACACUUCGUUGAAUUCGUUGGAACUCAUGCAAAUUGCUGUGCUGCUUCCGUAGGAGACGAAAAUUCGUUCUAUUUUGGGAAACGAUUGCUGGACGCCUUUAGCACCAUUGAAGACAGCAAAUUCGUUUUAAGGAAACAUUGUGAAGUCGGUGGCCUCGAAUUACAUUUUGGAUCCUAUUGAUCAUUUCUUACAUUCAGGUGAUUCUGUCGAAUUGUUUUCAAAGGAGUAACUUCAAAUUCUAGAAACAACAAUCUUAAAAUGAAUUUCGCUAUUAUUCUGUUUCUGUUUCUACUCCUUCUUACAGUUGAUCUUCUGAUUGUGUUUCAGAAAUGGCAACUUCUGGUACCACACUCCCGAAUACGACCGGAGAAAAUUAGAAAAAUUUAAUGGGUCAGAUUUCAAGCGUUGGCAACAAAAAAUAUUUUUUUUUCCUACAACAUUAAAUCUGGCUAAAUUUCUCAAAGAAGAUGUGCUUUUAUAUACCGAGCAAGACACUGAUACUGAAAAAUUGGUUGCGGUUGAUGCAUGGAAGCAUUCUGAUUUUCUGUGCAAAAAUUAUGUACUCAAUAGAUUGGACAACACAUUAUAUAAUAUGUAUUGCAAUGUGAGGUCCGUAAAAGAACUAUGAGAAUCUUUGGACACCAAGUAUAAAAUCGAAGAUGCCGGUACGAAGAAAUUUAUUCUCGGUCGAUUUUUGGACUAUAAAAUGGUUGACAGCAAGACUGUCAUAUUCCAAGUUCAAGAACUUCAAAUCAUACUUAGCGACAUCCAUGCCGAAGGAAUGAAACUAAGUGAAUCAUUUCAAGUCACUGCAUUGAUUGAGAAAUUACCGCCUUCAUGGAAGGAUUUCAAGAAUUACCUAAAUCACAAGCGGAAGGAAAUGAAACUUGAAGAUAUCAUUGUCCGAUUGAGAAUAGAAGAAGACAAUCGCAAAACUGAAAGAAGGAAUGGUGCAUCUCAUUCGAUGGAAUUAAAAGUCAACAUUGUAAAAGGAGGCUUCAAAACUAGCAAAAAGAGGAAGCACAAUGGUGAAAGACAAACUGGUUCUUCAAAAACUGCUAAAAAAUUUAAAGGCAACUGUUACAAUUGUGGCAAGGCAGGACAUCGAUCCAAAGAUUGUCGAAAGUCAAAGAAUGUUAAGGGAAAAACUCACCAAGCCAAUGUAACAGAACAUGAGAACCUCACCGAUAAGGUAUAAGACAUGAAUCUUUCUGUGAUCGUCUCUGAAUGCAACUUAACUGGAAACACUAAGAAGUGGUGGGUGGAUACUGGAGCUACUCGUCACAUAUGCUCAAACUGCGGGAUGUUCUCUACCUACAAAGCGAUUGAUCAUGAUGAAAAUCUCUACAUGGGAAACUCGUCAUCUUCCAAGGUAGAAGGACAUGGGAAGAUAGUGCUGAAAAUGACAAGUGGAAAAGAGCUCACUUUGAAUGACGUUCUUCAUGUGCCGAAUAUUAGGAAAAACUUGGUAUCUGGUUUUCUAGUAAGUAAGAACAGGUUUAAGCUUGUAUUUGUUUCAAACAAAUUUGUACUCUCAAAUAAUGAAAUGUUUGUAGAAAAGGGCUACCUGAAUGAGGGGCUCUUUAAGUUGAACGUAAUGACUGUUGUACCUCUAAUUAUGAAUAAGAAUACAUCUUCUUCUUACUUGCUUGAGUCAUUUAAUUAUGAACGAUUAGGACAUACAAAUUAUAACACUUUGCGUAGACUAAUCAAAUUAGAUUUAUUACCAAAGUUUGAUUUAAAUCCUAAUCACAAAUGUGAUAUAUGUGUAGAAGCCAAAAUGUCACGUCUACCCUUUCAUUCUGUUGAAAGAAGUACCGAACCCCUAGAUUUAAUUCACGCUGACAUAUGUGAUUUAAAAUUUGUUCAAACUAGGGGAGGUAAUAAAUACUUUAUCACUUUUAUCGAUAAUUGUACUCGAUAUUCCUAUGUGUAUUUACUCAAAAGCAAAGAUGAAGCAAUUGAAGUGUUUAAACACUACAAGUUAGAAGUUGAAAAUCAACUUAGCAAAAAGAUUAAGGCCAUAAGAAGUGAUAGAGGUGGAGAAUAUGAUUCACCAUUUGAGAAAUUCUGUUCGAAACACGAAAUUAUUCAUCAAACUACCGCGCCUUAGUCUCCUCAAUCUAAUGGUAUUUCUAAACGCAAGAAUCGAACAUUGAAGGAGAUGAUGAAUGCUAUGUUAAUAAGUUCUGGAUUACCGCAAAACUUGUGGGGGGAAGUCUUGCUUUCUGCCAACUAUAUUCUUAACAAAUUAUUACAUCGAAAAACGCAUAAGAUACCUUUGAAGUAUGAAAAACCUAAUUAUAAAUACUUGAAGGUAUGAUGAUGUUUGGCUAAGGUAGUAGUUCCUAAACGUAAAAGGGUUAAGAUAGGACCUAGAUCCAUUGAUUGUGUAUUCAUUGGUUAUGCCUACUAUAGUAAUGCGUACAUAUUUAUGAUAUAUAAGUCUGAAUUACCCGAUAUGCAUGUUAAUACGAUUAUUGAAUCAAGAGAUGCUACAUUUUUCGAAAAUACUUUUCCUUAUAACAUGUAAGGUGAAUCAAAUUCACAAAAGAGAUCUCGUGAAAAUGAAGAGACUAUAGAUCAACAAUCUAUAAAUGAACAACCUAGACAAAGUAAGAGGGCUAGGACGUCAACCUCCUUUGGGCCUGACUUUCUAACAUACUUGUUAGAAAAUGAACCUCAAAGUUUUAAAGAGGCUAUGUCAUCAACCGAAACUUCAUAUUGGAAAGAAGCUGUUCAUAGUGAAAUUGAAUCCAUACUACAAAGUCAUACUUGGGAAUUAGUAGACCUCCCUCCCGAUAAUAAGCCUUUGGGAUGUAAAUGGAUUUUCAAAAGGAAAAUGAAAGCAGAUGGAUCAAUUGACAAAUAUAAAGUAAGACUUGUCGCUAAAGACUACAAGCAAAAAUAAGGUUUUGAUUAUUUCGAUACCUAUUCUCCUGUGACAAGAAUUACUUCCAUACGUAUGCUUACUGCAAUAGCAGUAUUGAAUGGUUUGGAUAUAUAUCAAAUGGAUGUUAAAACGACUUUUCUGAAUGAAGAAUUAGAUGAAGAAAUUUAUAUGGAGCAACCUAAAGGAUUUGUGGCCUCAUGACAAGAAAAGAAAGUGUGUCGCUUCUAAGAAAUGGCAUGAAAAUUUUGACACGGUUAUGAUGUCAAAUAGUUUCAAAAUUAACGGGUGUGACAAAUGUGUUUAUGUCAAGAAUACUCCAAAUGGAUUUGUCAUUGUUUGUUUAUAUGUAGAUGACAUGUUGAUUAUGGGUAACAAUGAUACCAUAAUUCAAACUACAAAAAGGAUGCUAANNNNNNNNNNNNNNNNNNNNNNNNNNNNNNNNNNNNNNNNNNNNNNNNNNNNNNNNNNNNNNNNNNAUAUUAUUCCUAUGAAAACACCUAUGGAUGUUAGUAUGCAUCUUGUUUCCAAUACUGGUAAUAGUAAGUCUCAAUUGGAAUACUCUCGUAUUAUUGGCAGUUUAAUGUAUGUCAUGAAUUGCACUCGACCUGAUAUUGCCUAUUCAAUUAGUAGGCUAAGUCAAUAUACGAGUAAUCCAAGCACUGAUCAUUGGAAGGCUAUUGUUAGAGUUUUAGGGUAUUUAAAACAUACCCAAAAUUUUGGAUUCCACUAUUCGAGAUAUCCAGCAGUACUUGAAGGCACCUGUGAUGCAAAUUGGAUAUCAGAUACUAAAGACUCCAUAUCAACAAGUAGAUAUGUCUUUACACUUGGAGGUGCUGCAGUAUCAUGGAAAUCUUCAAAACAGACAUGUAUAGCUAGAUCAACAAUGGAAUAUGAAUUCAUUGCAUUAGACAAAGCCAGAGAAGAAGCCGAAUGGCUACGAAACUUUCUAGAAGAUAUUCCAUGUUGGACAAAACCUGUGCUUGCUAUAUGUAUCCAUUGCGAUAGUCAAUCAGCAAUUGGUAGGGCACAAAAUUGUUCUAUACUGAUAUUAUCUCUAUAGAGUAUGUGAAAUCAAAAGAGAAUAUUGCGGAUCCGCUAACUAAGAAUUUAACAAGAGAGCAAAUUGGAAGUUCAUUGAAGGGGAUGAGAUUAAAACUAAUAAAAUAAUCAAAAGUUUCCAUGGUAGCAACCCAACCUAGUUGACUGGAGAUCCCAAGAUCUAGGUUCAAUAGGACAACCGAACUGUAAAAAACUUAGUAUGCACUGGGAAGAUUUUACUACUACCUAUUCCUAUGAUGAGCUAGUGCCUAGCUGCUGCGAAAUAUGUUAAGAUAUGCUUUUAAUGAUUUCUAUAUCUUUAUUCGUUCAAGUGGAGUAUAGCUUCUAAGAGAAUUAGGUGAAGAUGAAUUCUCUAAAAACCACUCAUGAACCAGGAAGUGUCCAAGGCCAAAAUGGACACAAACGUGAGAAACCAACUGUGUUCGAAGAGAACUGUGUGACUUCUAUUGUUUAAGUUUCCAUGAACGACUGACUGUUUAAAGUAACUUGCUACUGAUUGGCUAAGGAAAUCCGAUAGAUUUUACUAGGGAAAGUUUAAAGUCAUUGACUACUUAUCCCGAUGCAGUCUUCUUCAAUUUUUACUUUGAAAAACAUAUCAGAUGUUAUUGUUUGGAAAAAGGCCAACAUAUUUCAUUCAUGUAGGGGAUUGUUGGAAAAAUGGUUAUGAAAUGGGUCAACUUUGAGCCCAAAUUUCAGUAGGACCCACCUUUUAAUUAAUACAGGACCUAGCAUAUUCACGUUCUACUCCACGAGAUGAUUAACGUGAUAUAUCUAUUUGUCGAAAACCAUUUAGCAACAAUGUUUCUAGAGUUUGAAGUUACUCAUUCGAAAACAAUCCGACAGAAUCACCUGAAUGUAAAAAAUGAUCAACAGGAUCCAAAAUGUAAUUCGAGUUCACCGACUUCAUGAUGUUUCCUUAAAAUGAAUUUGCUACCUUCAAUGGUGUUAAAGGCGUCUAGCAAUCGUUUUCCAGGAUAGAACCAAUUUUCUUCUCCUACGGAUGCAGCAUAACAAUCUGCAAGAGUUUCAACGAACUCAAUAAAGUGUACUUGACUUCGAAACAAUAUCAGAAAGAGAGAGAGAGAGAGGAGAAUAAGAUUCAAAGCACAAAAAAUUUGCAAUGAAAAUGGUGUAAAUUUUUUGGCAGAGAGGCAAGCUAUUUGUAGACUUGUUCGUGGCCAUUCGAACAGUCGUCACCUUUCAGACAAACCUCAAAAACCCAGAACAGACAUGUUGUUCUAAAGUCGCAUCUGUUAAGUCGGUUAACAGACGAUUGUUAAACAGUCCAUCCAGACCAAAAAAUCACCUGGAAUAAGCCAAAAUUUAAAUUUCAUAAUGUACCCAAAAAUUUGAUUAUUCACAAUUUGGCCAAAAAAUUUAAAUAAAUUUGGUCCAAAAAGUUAAUAUAGUGCAAAGGUCCACCUCCACCCGCACCCGAACACGAACACGAACUGGACUGGUCUCGGUCUCGGACACGGGCACGUGCUCGUGCCGUGCCGAGCUGAGCAGGCCGAUCGGACGGACGGCGGCGGCCCGUGCGUGUGGGUUUAUGAUCAAAGCUAAUAGGAUAUAGGUCUUUCCCCUUCCAAAAACUAUUGGUACCCUUUGGAGCCCAAACCCAAUUCCCAAACUUCCACCUUAUAUACCAUACCAAAGUUUCCUAACUUUUCUAAGUGGGAUAAGUGUUUAUAAAAUCAAAUUCUUCCAUAAUACUUAGUUUUAUGUGGGUUACUUUAACACUUAAUAUUUCAUUCAAUUCUAAAUGGUUUUCGACAAAUAAAUAUAUCACGUUAAUCAUCUCGCGGAAUAGAACGUGAAUAUGCUAGGUCCUGUAUUAAUUAAAAGGUGGAUCCUACUGAAAUUUGGGCUCAAAAUUGACCCAUUUCAUGACCAUUUUUCCAACAAAACUGACAACUAACAAUACUUUGCAGGGAUUCAACUUCUGAACUUAAACCUAAAACAAAUUACUAAAAAAUUAAAUUGUAUAAUGCAACAUUAUUCACUUGAAAUUAAAAUGCAGAAUGACAUAAAUAGAUAUUUUACUCAUCACUCGAGUCACGAAUGUAGAAAACAACAAACCAAUAUGAUAAACAAACAAUCAAAAGAGAAGAAGAAACUGAUGAAGAAUGGAGAGAAGCCUCCAAACUUAGGGCUAAAUAUUUGAGAUUACAAUGGUUUAUAUAUUACAAAACAAUGGAAAAGUAAAAGACAAAACUACCCCUAGCCUAAUAUAUUUAUUACAUUAACAUCAACCCUCACACUCAAGGUGCUAUAGCCAGAGGCAAUGAGAGUUUGACAAACAAAAAGAAACGUAAACGAUGAACCAGAUGGAACUUCAUGAAGAUGUUAACAAGCUGCAACGAUGAACAACGAAAGAUAGGGUAAUGAUGCUAGACUGCAAAUAACCAAUGAAACCACACAAUCUCAACUAAGCCAAACGGAUGCAAAUUUCAAAUCCAAUUGAACCGAAAAUCCCAUGAACCAGGCAUACAUUGAACCAAAUUUCCAAUCCUAGAAACUGGGCAAACAACAAACCAAAUUUUCAAUCAAUUCCAUGAAUUGGGUAGAUACCAAACCAAAAUUUCAAUCCCAUAAACCGGGCAUACACCAAACCAAAUUUUCAAUGCACUCAUUUUUUUUUUGGUGUGGAAAAAUUCCCUAUCCAUCUUUAGCAACGCAUCAAACAUACACAGGCCUACAUCAAACAAAAUCAGCCCAAUCUCAUUUUUUUUGCCCAACACAAAGUUUAAUAUCAACAAAUAACCCAUAUAUAUUAACCAAAACCCACAUGCUCGAAAAUAAAUUACCUAACCCAACUAUACUCCAAUGCCAAUUAUAAUCACAUAGCCCACAAAAAGAGUCCAGAACACAAACCCAGCCCAAUUCCACCUGGCCCAUUAACCCAAUAACCACCCCAGCAGGCCCAACUAAUCUACAGACUCCAGGACCCAAAACCCAUCUACAGCCCAAAACCCAUUACCUAGCCUACCUCAUACACCGACCCAAAUUCAACCUUGCUUCUUCCUCCUCCAUAACCUAUAGCAAAUCGCCACGCCCAAUAUCCAUGCUCACUGUACCAAGCCAACUGCGAAAACUACCGUCAAGUGUCGGGUUUUCCAUGGUCGGCCACCACAACUCCAACCUCGCAACAACUGAAUCACCGUUUGCCAACAACGCAAAUCGUAGGCACAACAAAUCUCAACAUACGAUCUAUCCCUCAUCCAAAAAUUAAAACACUAACAGCGUUUUCCUCAAUCUAACGAACCAUACCCAGCCUGUCGCCACCAUUCCUAGACUCGAUAGUCGUCUACAACAUACAUGCCCAUAUUUGCUAGAAACUAUUUUUCGAGGAAAGAGUUUAUUGCAAGUUCUGUUACUUUCUCAAGCAGCUGCUGCUCAACCGAUCGUACACUCAAUACAGGGAAGUCGACGGCCAGAUGAGUGUUUAUAACGACUUUGCUGUUCGCCACCCUCUACAACAAGUUCAGCUCCUCAAACUCGAUGGAGGAUUAGCUUUGGCUAUGAUACUAUGUAGAAAACAAUAAACCAAUAUCAUAAACAAACAAUCAAAAGAGAAGAAGAAACUGAUGAAGAAUGGAGAGGAGCCUCCAAACUUAGGGCUAAAUAUGUGAGAUUACAAUGGAUUAUAUAUUACAAAACAAAGGAAAAGUAAACGACAAAACUACCCCUAACCUAGUAUAUUUAUUACAUUAACAACGAACCCAUAAGAUAUACCAAAUCUAAAUGCAUUAAGAAGAUUUCACCUACACUAAUUUCUAUUCAAACAAGACAGAGGAUAAUUGAUGAUGAUGCCCAAUCAUCAGAUAGAGGUAGACAGACAACAACCUAGAAAGAAACAUUCUGUUUUUAAACAUUGAACGGAGAGAUAAUAUUGGUCUUGCUUCACUUGAAAGAAUUCAUGCAUAUAUGUUAAAAGCAUAUACUGAUUUGUAAUCCUGUCUUUCUACAGGUGGCAUAUGUGGGAUAUAUAACAUUGGUUAUUGUAACAAUUUUACAUAGCCAGGAUCUUUAAGCAUGAUAAACUGAUCAACAAGACAACUACAAAUUGCAUCUUCAAGCGCCAUAAGAGUAGAAAGGUAACCACAAAGAAUCAGGUCCACAACAGUGAUUCGUGAAAAUAAAUUAUAUGAACAUUGGACUAGUGAAUGAUUAAAUAUGAAAGAUUGAGCGAAAAGAAACAGAUACUAAGGAAAUUUUAGUUCAAUUUCAAAUAUGAUUUGAAGAUACCUCACACCAUACUUCAGUGCUUAUUCGGUAAAAUAUAUCCCUGGUUACCUCUGUCUAAGAGCAUGUCUCCUCUCGGAAAGGAUUAUAUCACCAAACAAGAAAAUUUAUCAGUCUUAUUGAGUCUCGAAAUGGGUGUAAAGAGUAGGAAGAAAUGGUUGGUCCAGAGAUUGUAGUAUCUCUCUUUCCGUCUGACCACGAAUAAGCUUGUUACGACUAGCUAGAGAUGUUUUGUCCAUAACUUUUAUUGGCAGUGGUAAUGAUCAGACGUUAAAGGUCGUGGCCAUGUUCGAGAUGUCGAUAGGUCCUUCUGAAACCCUCUAAAUUUGGUCAUUUUCGACUGUAGCUCGUGGGAACGCACUAGAAACACCAUAACAGAUUAUGUUGAGGUUUAAUUAUUUAGGGAAUCUUGAAUUUCCAGGAGGGAGAUGUUGAAAUAAUGGAGCCUAAGUCACAAACUUUCAUGUGUGUCAGACAAUUUUGUCAAAAGGUGGUGGCAAAUGUUGACAAAAUAAUAUGGAUGGAAAAAUCUUGAAACCAUGCAGCCGUUUUUGGAAGAAUUUUUUUGCCGUGCAUUUAAUCAAAGGUUGCCUUUGUUGAAAAUGAUGGAUCUGCAAUUAAUGAGGGUGACAAGUUUUUUUUUCUAUAAAUAAGAUGCCAAAGCAGGAAAAAAAAGACAGAUGUGCAAAGAGAAGUGCAAGAAAGGUAUUGAGUGAAAACACGAGAGACAGUGAGCAAAGCACAAAAGUGAGAAACAGUUAGGUUUUAGUUUGUAUAGAAAAUUAAUGAGAGAGAAAAUUGAGAGAUUGCCUUUGUGUAGGCAAAUAAAAUACAGAGAGUGUAUUUGUUGUAUUCUUUUUCUUCUCUUGUUGAUAUAGUAAAAAAUUGGUGUGGGUUUGUGGACAUAGGCACAAUUACCGAACCACGUAAAUUCUUGUGUCACUUGCACUUAUUAAUUUUCUGCUACAUUUAUUUUUUCUCAGUUUAAAUUAUUUUGUGUCUCACUGAUCCUUAUGGAAUUAGUAGUGCUCUAAUACCUAACAACUGGUAUUAGAGCCCUAGAAUUUAAGUGGGAGCAAUGGCAACAUACGAGACGAUAUCUAAAAUCGAUAAAUUUGACAGUACAAACUUUGGAUUUUGGAAAAUGCAAAUGGAGGACUAUUUGUACCAGAAGGACCUGUAUAAACCGCUUCACGAAAAGCUGGAGGACAUGACCAACGACGAGUGGGAAUUGCUUGAUCGAAAGGCUCAUGGCGCAAUAAGGCUUACAUUAUCAAAGUCAGUUGCUUUCAACAUAAAAAAUGAGAAGAAAACGACAUCUCUCAUGACGGCCCUCUCUAGCAUGUAGUGCAACCUUCUAUAGCAAACAAAGUUCAUUUAAUCAAAAAAAUAUUUACUAUGAAAAUGACGAAAGGCGAAAGAUUUGGAGAACAUCUAAAUGAGUUCAAUGAAGUGACGGACCAGUUAAACACGAUCGAAAUCACGUUCAGUGAUGAGGUUCAAGCUUUGUUAAUUCUCGGGCUACUGCCUGAGAGUUGGAAUGGCACAGUUAUAACAAUUAGCAGCUCUGUUGGAAAGUCCAAAUUGAAGUUUGAAGAUGUCGUGAGUAUGAUCCUGACUGAGGAAAUACGAAGACAGACAGAAGGUGUUUCCAGUUCUAGAGCCGCUUUGAACAUGGAGAGUAGAGGUAGAAGUUUGAACAAAAGUAAAGGGCAUAACAGGAGCAAGUCAAGGUUUGGCAGAUCAAAAUCCAGCUAUCCAAAGAAUUUCAACAAAUUAAAAGUUGUUGAAUUUUGGAAUUGUGGCAAGACCGGACACUACAAAAAUCAGUGUCAAGUUUCCAAGAAAGAAAAUAAAAACGAAACUGAGGCCAAUGUCGUAGCAGAAGAAUCUGAUGAUGCUUUGAUAUGCUCUUUGGAAAGCAAAGCAGAAUACUGGGUAAUAGAUUCUGGAGCAUUUUUUCAUGCUACUUCAAACAGAAAACUUUUUACGAGUUAUGAACCGGUCAAUCUUGGAAAAGUAUAUCUUGGUGAUGAUCAACCUUAUGACGUAGUCGGCAAAGGCGAAGUUCAGAUCAAGCUUAAUGGAUCUAUAUGGAAAUUGAAGGACGUUAGACACAUUCCAGACUUGAGGAAUAACUUGAUAUCUGUGGGCCAACUAUCAAAUGAAGGUUAUGUCACAACUUUCAACGGUGAUAUUUGGAAGGUUUCCAGGGGUGUAAUGACCAUAGCAUGAGGCAAGAAAAGUGGUACUCUUUACACACAACGAGUUCCUGCGAAAAAUAAUUGCAGUUGCUGAUUCAAAUGAAGAUUCGAAUCUAUGGUACCAGAGACUGAGGCAUAUGAGUCAGAAAGGACUCAAGUACGUGCAUGAUAAAGGGAAACUACCGGUACUUCAAUCUAUUGAUGCAGAUCUACGUGAGAGUUGCAUCUUCAGGAAGCAGAAGAGGGUGAGUUUUAACAAGUGUGGCAUAACUCUGAAGUAGGAAAAGCUAGAGUUAGUCCAUACGGAUGUCUGGGGACCAGCUGCAGUUCCAUCUACUGGCGAAAGUCUUAUUUUGUGACUUUCAUUAAUGAUCACUCCAGAAACGUAUAGGUCUACUUCUUGAGACACAAAUUUGAAGUGUUCGAGAUGUUUAAGAAGUGGAAAGCUAUGGUGGAUAACGAAAUAGGUUUGUUAGUAAAGAAAUUGAGAUUAGAUAAUGGCGAAGAGUACGAACAUGCUGAUUUCAAAAAGUUUUGUUACCAGAAUGGUAUCAAAGUAGAAAGAACGUUGCCAGGAACACUACAACAAAAUGGUGCGUCCGAAUGAAUGAAUCGCACAUUGACAGCAAGAGCCAGAAGCAUGCAGUUACAUGCUAGUUUGCCUAAACAAUUUUGGGCUGAAGCUAUCAACAUCGCAGCAUACUUAAUCAAUCAUGGGCCAUCAGUGCCUUUGGAGUAUAGGAUACCAGAGGAAGUAUGGAGCGGAGAAGAAAUAAAAUUUUCUCAUUUGAAAGUUUUUGGUUGUGUCGCAUAUGUACAUAUUAGUGAUCAAGUUAGGGGUAAGCUUAACCCCAAAUCACUAAAGUGUACCUUCAUUAGAUAUGGUAGAGAUGAGUUCAGGUACCGCUUUUGGGAUGAUAAGAACAAAAAGGUCAUCAGAAGUCGGGAUGUCAUAUUCAAUGGAAGGGUGAUGUGAUGUACAAAGACAGAGAUACAGUGCUAUUCAGUACUUACAUGAUAAUCCAACAUAUGUUGAGUUGGAUGAUACUCCAAAUAGUAGUAUGUCAAAGCAGACAAAUGAGAGUCCUCAGCUAGAGGAAGCUAUUGCGGAGACUUUACUAAAGUCUCCAACUCCUAUUCCUAGAAGAUCUUCCCGACCAUAUGUUCCAAACAAAAAGUACAUAAAUUAUCUGAUGUCGGUGAACCUGAAUGCUAUGAUAAGGCAUGUCAGGGAGAAGAUGCGAUUAAGUAGGAGCUUGGAAUGAAAGAUGAGAUAAAGUCUCUUACUCUAAUCAAACAUGGGAGCUAGUUGAGUUGCCUGCAAAAAAGAAGGCUAUAUACAAUAAAUGAGUCUAUCGAGUCAAGAAGGAACAUGACGAAUCAAAGAGAUACAAGGCAAGAUUGGUGGUCAAAGGCUUUCAACAGAAAGAAGGAAUUGACUACACAUAGAUUUAUUUUCCAGUAGUAAAGCUGACAACAAUUCGAUCAGUUUUGAGUAUUGUUGCAGCAGAGGGAUUGCACUUAGAGUAGUUAGAUGUGAAAACUGCCUUCUCCAUGGUGACCUAGAAGAGGAGAUAUAUAUGCAGCAACCAGAGGGUUUCUCAAUAAAAAAAAAGAAGAGAAGCUUGUGUGCAAAUUGAAGAAAAGCUUGUAUGGCUUAAAACAGGCUCCGAGACCGUGGUACAGGAAGUUUAACGAAUUUAUGCAGAAAAAUGGCUACUACAAGUGCAAUGCUAACCAUUGUUGCUAUUUUAAGAGGUUGGAGUCUAGCUACAUUAUUUUGCUACUUUAUGUUGAUGACAUGUUAGUAGCGGGACUAGACGUGAACGAAAUCCAGAAAUUAAAGAAGCAAUUGUCAGCAAAAUUCGAAAUGAAGGACUUGGGUCCAGCUAAACAAAUUCUAGGAAUGAGAAUUUGUAGGGACAAGCGAAAAGGCACUUUACAGCUUUCCCAGACCAAGUACAUUAGUCAAAUUUUGCAGAGGUUCAAUAUGAACAAUGCAAAGGCAGUUAGUACACCAUUGGCUAAUCACUUCCUUCUAUCAAACGACCAGUCUCCAAAAAUAGAAGACGAAAGAAACUUCACGGCUAAUAUUCCAUACACCUCAACCAUUGGAAGUUUAACGUAUGCCAUGGUUUGUACAAGACCAGACAUUACUCAUGCAGUGGGAGUUGUGAGCAGAUUCAUGACCAAUCCAGGAAAACAGCACUGGGAAGAAGUGAAGUGGAUACUGAGAUAUCUGUAGGGUACUAUUGAUAAAUGUUUAUGUUUCAAAAGAGUUGAGUUGGCACUAUAAGGCUUUGUAGAUGCAAACUUUGCUGGCGAGGUCGAUCACAGGAAAAGCACCAUCGGUUAUGUAUUCACAGUUGGUACUAUUGCAGUGAGUUCGAUUUUGCAAAACCAUAAUAUUUUUGCUUUAUCCACUACAGAAGCAGAGUACAUGGCAGUAACCGAAGCUAGCAAAGAGAUGAUUUGGUUAGAAGGUCUGUUGACAUAAUUGGGUCUCAAGCAGGAAAAGAAUGUUUUGCAUAGUUACAGUCAGAGUGCUAUACAUCUGGCAAAGAAUGCAACAUUUCGUUCGAGAACGAAGAACAUUGGUCUUCGUUAUCACUUCAUCAGAUCUCUCUUGGAGGAUGAAGUAUUAACACUGGAAAAGAUCCAGGGCAGCAGAAACCCAGUUGACAUGUUAACCAAGACGGUAACUACGAAAAAACUGGAAUUAUGUUCAACUUCAGUUGGCCUUCUAAAAUGAAGAUGAGGAAGGUGAUCCACACCAAUUUCACUAAAAUGGAACUGCUCGCAGGUGUCUCAAGGUGAAGCCACAUUAGUCUCCAAGUGGGAGAUUGUUGAAAUAAUGGAGCCUAAGUUUAAGGCUUCACAAACUUUCAUCUGUGUCAGACAAUUUUGUCAAAAGGUGGUAGCAAAUGUUGACAAAACAAUAUGGAUGGAAAAAUCUUACAACCAUGCAGCCGUUUUUGGAAGAAUUUUUUUGCCAUGCAUUUAAUGAAAUGUUGCCUUUGUUAAAAAUGAUGGAUCUGUAAUUAAUGAGGGUGGCAAGUUUUUUUCUAUAAAUACAAGGCCAAAGCGGGAGCAAAAAGACAUAUGUGCAAAGAGAAGUGCAAGAAAGGUGUUGAGUGAAAACACGAGAGACAGUGAGCAAAGCACAAAAAUGAGAAGCAGUUAGGUUUUAGUUUGUGCAGAAAAUUAACGAGAGAAAAUUGAGAGAUUGCUUUUGUGUAGGCAAAUAAAACACAAAGAGUGUAUUUUUUGUAUUCUUUUGUAUAGGCAAAUAAAAUUGGUGUGAGUUUGUGGACGUAGGCACAAUUGCCGAACCACAUAAAUUCUUGUGUCACUUGCACUUAUUAAUUUUUUGCUACAUUUAUUUCUUCUCAAUUUAAAUUAUUUUGUGUCCCACUGAUCCUGACGGAAUUAGUAGCGGUCUAAUUCUUAACAACUGGUAUCAGAGCUCCAAAAUUUAAGUGGGAGCAAUGACAACAGACGAGAAGAUAUCUAAAAUUGAUAAGUUUGAUGGUACAAACUUUUGAUUUUGGAAGAUGCAAAUGAAGGACUAUUUGUACCAGAAGGACCUGUAUAAAUCACUUCACAAAAAGCCAGAGGACAUGACCAAUGACGAGUGGGAAUUGCUUGAUCGAAAGGCUCUUGGCGCAAUAAGGCUGACAUUAUCAAAGUCAGAGACUAAAAAUUUGAAGCAUAACUUUUUUUGCUUGAAAGUUGAUAUAUGAUAAUUCUUCGACUAUAUUUCACCCGUUUGACUUCUUUCCUCAUGUGAUUGACCUCUAACACUCUCGAAUCUUCAUCGUAUGGUUCAACACAACUUUUCAAUGUUUGCACUUUAGACUUCAAACUUUGAUUUUGCUUCAUUUUAGUCAUUUUCUCUUGUAAUCUUGUUCCUUUAUCUUUCAAUUGUAUCCAAUUAAAGCUUUGGCAUCUUCGAUCUUCAUUUCAUCGCUUGUCUCAUCUAUGAAUUUUUUGCAACAUGGUUCUCGUCUUUUGGAUUUCACCGUUUUUUUUGGAUAUUCCUUUUGUUUCUUUCAAUUUCUUGUCCAGCCAUUGAGUUUUACUUAUUUAAUAUAAAAACACAACAAUUUAGACUAUAUUUCACCAGAGGAGCAACUAAAUAUAAUUAUUUAAAGUCUUGAAUAAGUGUAUAAAAUACACCUAUCAGCAUCGACUAUUGGGCGAUGGUGCUAACCAUUGAUGCAGUGAGAGUGGAGAAGUAGGAGGUGCAGACCACCGACCUUUCUGUUUUUCAUAAGAGUGGGUAGGGGUUGGGUAGAUUUCUUUUAUUUUUUGGGUUUUUUUAUUUAGCCUCUGUUUGGGGGACUAAAAUCAGAUUUUUAUUAGAUUUUGGUAGAUGUUGAUGAAAUGUGUGAUUGAAAAGUUAUGGAUCUCAUAAAAUGUGUGGUUAAAAUUAAUUGUUAAUUUUGACUUAUAUUUAAAUCUUGGUUUUAAAUUUCUAUCAAAUAGGGGCUUAGUUAUUUUAUGUGAAAAAACGAUAAGUUAUGAUUUUGUUCUUCUAAAAUUUGUCAAAAUUGUAGUCAAUAUCGGUUCUUUGGUCAAUUAAUGUCAUUUGGAUCGCUGCUACUGUGUUCUCAAAGGUUUGGGACCUCCGUUGAUAAAAAUUGAAGGUUAAGAUAAAGUCUGUAGAAAAGUGAAAUUUUAGAAAUCAUUGCUGCAAUUUUUCCAAAAUUUAAUGUCACGUUUUCAUGGAGUUCUUAUCUGUCACAGAUAAGGAAAGUAAGAAUAAUAACCAAUCAUUUUAAAAUUCAUCAUUUUUCAAUUUCCAUGUUAUUAAUGUGGCAUAUAAAAUUGGUUAGAAUGAAUAGAAAUUGACCUUAACUUUGCCGGACGUAACAAAAUGGUCUUAUAUUUACUUCUUUUUGAAUGAAUUGUACAUUGCCUUUUGAGUUUUUAGCCAAUUGAUGUCUAACGUUGGCUGUUAGAAAAGAUAACUUACUUCUUAUUGAAACAGCAGUGCCACCCGUAUUUUAAUUUAAAAAAUCAGAAUGGAAAAAAAUUCAAAACAUUAUCUUUCCCAAUCCACCAAUAACCAAUAGCAUGCCUUAUAGGUCCCUAUGCCAUUGAUUCAAAUAAAAAAGUGAAAUAAUUUAAAAGAUGUGGGUGACGACGUUGAUUAAGAGAUUAAAAGGAAGAAAUUGGAAAUGAAAAUGCUACAUUAACAAACCCAUCUACAAACUGUUUGACAAACUAGACAAGUGAUGGCUCCCUAUUAGAGAGGCAGCUGUGGAGAUUUUGUACAAUAUUUUGUACAUAUAUCUUUAUCCAAUUGGAAAUAUUGAUUGGGAAAUGUAAGAGGUGUUCGCAAAUAGUUUGGGGCAGACAUGUAGCCAGUGUGGUUUAGGUUGCACGUGGUGUCUUUUCCUAUUUUCUUGUUUCCUUUUUAUUCUUCUUUUAAUAAUUUUCCAUGUGAAUUGAGAUUUUCCAUCCACGACUAUAUUGUUUGUUGACUUUAAAAUCUUGAAGGAUAAAGAUAUCAACAUAUACUGGUUACAUUCUCAUCUACCUGUUUCGAAACCUGAACAUAAGAAAUUGAAGUUUGCAAUCCUUCUAAGAAUGUAGUCAGGGCACCUUUUAGGCUUUGACACUCAAAUUAAUGCAAGUAAAAUAAUAUAAGUUCAAGAGAAACAAAAUGGACAAAGAAUUUGCAAGAGGUUUGAAUUAUUCAUUUUUGUACAUACCUUUUCUUUUAUGUUAGAUGGAAUUUCAAUAGGAAAACUAGGUUAAAGGAAAAUUGGACCUUUAUUGAAUCCCCCUCCCCAAAACAAUAUGUGUCGCUUUUUAAUUAGUGAGGACUUUUGAUUUUAGUACCUUGUCAUUUUUUGAUUAAUGGCGAGGUCAUUAUCAAGUAAUUGAUUCUUGUUUGAUUUUGUUUCACACUUUUUAUUGGUUUUAGUCUACUUGGUAGUUAUCCUCUUGCCAAGUUUCAAUAUCUUUCGUCAAAUUUUAGUUCCUUUAUUGAAACCCACUCCCCCCCCCCAAACGACACGUGUCGGUUUAUAAUUGGUGAGGACUUUUGAUUUUAGUACCUUGUCAUCUUUUGAUUAAUGACGAGAUCAUUAUCAAGCAAUUGAUUCUUGUUGGAUUUUAUUUUUCAUUUUUAAUGGUUUUAGUCUAUUUGAUGGUUAUCGUCUUGCCAAGGAGAAAACCUUCAAUACAGUAGUUCUAUAUGUAGAUAUGGUGUGAUCAUCCAUAUUAAAUUACGACGUCUUGAAUUUUGAACCAUGCAAAAUGUAAUAACUUGACAUUCGAGAUUGUAAGAGAGAAAUAAAGUGAGCGUGUGAAGUCAAGGUGUCAAAUUUUGAAUGACUCAAAUUUCGAAAUGUUAUGAUUUGAAUGGACAGUCCUACAACGUGUGCAUAUAGGACUGUCCUACUAAAUCUUCUCUCCUACCAUGUGGCAAAGGAAUAUUCUGUAUUUCCUUCAUUAAAAAAAGGGUGUGUGACAUAAACAAAUUCACUUGCCUGCAUGAAAGUAGAUAUACAUUUUGAUAACAGGUGUGGAUCUGAAAGGAAAGAUAUCAAAAAGGCAAUUAUUCAGAUAACUAAUGCAUAAAUAUUAUAAAUAGCAUUUAGCUAAUUCAAUUGUCAAGGCUAGAAUAAGAUUUACAAUUUGAGAUCUUAAAAUGAAAUACGAAGAGUUCAACGAGCAGGUUUUUAUUAUAUUCCAAUCAAAAAGUAACACAAAUUAUGCCACCACAAUUGCACCUCACACCAUUGACUAAAUUCUUCCAAUUACAAUCUUUAACCCCAAUUUCAGGAAUGCAAUUUUAAGGUGAGGCUAUUUUUUAACAGCUUGGACAAAGAUAAAAAAAUAAAAAUAAAAAUAAAUGUGAAUAAUAUGUGUGUACUUGAUAUAAUAAAAAACGUAAUAAAAUUUAUUAGUUCAUUUUAAUACACUCAAAUUUUCUUUCGUAUUCAUCCUUUCUUAUUUACUUGAAGAAGAAAUUACGAAUGUCGAAUUUGUUGGAGAAUAUAAAGAUUGCUUGCUAAUAAGCCAAAACAAAUUAUUGAUAAAGUAAAAAAAAAAAAAGGAAAAAAGAAAAGUGAGUUUGAGUUAGGUUAACAUGUAGAUUGAUCAAAAGCAUUGACUGUCACUAUUGAUUAAAAUACCUAAAAGGUAAAUUAAAAAAAUUGUAACGUUUGCAAGCAGAAUAAAUACAUAAGCCUUAAUAUAACAUCACACACGAAUACAAAUUUAUUACUUAGCUUGCAUUUUUGCACAUAACCAGGGAUCAAUUAAAGUGGAGGGGGAAAUGAAAAUGAUGCGUAAGCCAAAUAUAACAUAACUAAACAUGGCCAUGCAAAAGAGAUGAAGGGGCUGCUGUUUAUGAGGCGCAUCGUAAUGGUUGCACCACUGGUUUGACCACCGUGGCGGGUUAACGUACCUCCACCACCAUUUCCAGUACGGCUGCCUGCACUACUGCCACCACCACCCCUUGCUCCACCUCCGCCGAUGCCAUCUCCGCCACUACCACCACUGCCGCCUCCAUCCCCUCCCGGAGCAACUGCAGAACUGAGGAGGAGGCAGAUGAUUGAAAGCACAAGAACAAAUUUUGCGUGUUGCAUCUAUUGUUUCUAUUCAACGUUAUCAAGAUUGGAAUUCCCUUAAGACGGGAAAUGGAACGUUCAAACUUAGAAUUAAUUACACUUGCAAGAAUAUUUCUUGUUUAUAAUUUAUUAUUUGAUAGUGUAGGUUUGUGCACACGUCUAAGCUUGCCCGAAUAAAAAAAGAAAAAAAAAGCACACGUAUAUGCCGUCUAACCGUCCAAAUUAAAAAGAAAUCAAGCCUACCAAUCGUCCAAAUUAAAAAAAGAAACCAAGAUAUUUAUAAUCGAAAAACUUCAAUGUCAUGAUUUCAUGAAGUUCUUAUGUGUCAAAGAUAAGAAAAAUAAUUAAUAUUACCAAAUAUCAUAUUUAGGAUUAUUUGAACUCAAGUUGAGAAAACACGAGGGGUGAGCAUAAAUGUGACCACUGAAAAAUCUGCGAAAAAUGCUAGGGCAUUCUCAUAGCCCUUACGUUGUUUAUUUAGCAAGCAAGUAGAGAAAAAUAUAAGCGUGAGAACAAAAACAUGCCAAAAUAAUGAAUUAGACAUGAUAUAUAUACAGCGAGAGUAAGAGGAGUAAUUGAAACAUCUGUGAAAUAAUGAGUUGACCAAAUAGGAUUGGACUACUGAUGGCUUUAGAAUUCUCAUUGGGAUCAGAGCAUAGGAGACAUGUUGGAGUAGUACUCCUCAUCAUAGUUGGACAAUGAUGAACUCGUACCAGAUUGGGGAUCAUUGAGAUGAAGUAGGAUAGUCCUAUAAGACGACAUGAAAUCGGGGUCCUUGACCCCAAGCUGAAGGCGUCCACCUCGAGGAUCAAGACAAAACCAGAAAUUGCAAUGCGUGUGUGGUCAAGACUAAGGUAUUCUAGUGGCCCUAUAAACUUGAGGCCAGGCUCGGGGUCAAGUGCCUUACAGCGAGUCGUUGGACGUGUAAGCAACACACACACGUACAACGGUCAAAUUAUUUGAAGAGAAGUGCAUUGUCACUUAGGAAUCAUGUAGUGUCAUAUAGUAAGGAGGCAUAAGGCUUGCGCCAUUGUGUUUAAACCUUGUAAAUACCCCGUCCCCAUUUUUAAUUUCCACCAAACCUUGAGAAGCAAAGAGCUCGAGCACUGAACCUAAGCUAAGAUCUUAGGCUCAUUUUUUAUUUAUUUCACAUAAGGCAUAUAGGUAAAGAUGAGGAGAGUAAAAUAACGAGGGUAGAAAGGUAGAGGUUAGCAACAGCCUUCGAGGCCUUGGACUCUAUUGAUGAGAGUAUAGAGAAGCUCAAGGUAAAUGACCAAAAAUGGAGAUGAGAUCAAGGACCCCGAAGUGAGCAAACAAGGAGGGGACGAGGAGAGGGAUGAGGUUGAGGUGUUGGAAUAUCAUGAAACUUUAAAUCUUAAUAACAUGAAAAGCUAAUUACUUAUUGCCAAGAUCCUCCAUGUUAAAUCUCCAAGAGCAUUAUAAAGUGCAAAACAUACCUUAAUUCAUUGGGAAUGUUUAUUUGAUACUGGAUCUUGAAUAUUGACUUUUUAGACUCUUGAGUUCUUGAUCUUGAUUUUACUUCUUGAUCCAUAUUCUUGAUUGUUGAAUUUCUUCUUCUUAAUUUUUUAUUGUGGAUCGCAUGUUUUUGAUUAUGGAUUUCGAAUCUUCUUCUUCAAUAUACUUUCUCUUCUAUUAUUGUAUUGAUGGGAUGACACAAAAAAUGAGAAGUUGUUGAAUUGAGAAACAUGAUCCUAUAUAUAGUUUUCAUAUUCAUUUUGCUCAUGAUGAAGUGCAAUUUUAAAGGAAUCCGCCUCUAUAUAUAUAUAAUUCGGCCCACACUUUGUUUAGAUGCUCUAGCCCAAAAAUUUAAUUUUUUACUAGAUCACUUGAAUUAUGGGUUUAACUUUAAGAUGACCUAUACACAAUUAAUUAUAUAUGUAGGCCCACAUGAAAAAUUAAAAUUUUCUCAAUAAUCUCUCACUUGGGCCACAUAUGUUACUUGAUAAAUUUGUAUAACCUUAUGACAUCAAAACUUUUGCUAUUAUAACCAAAAGCAUCUCCGAACAAUCUCAUCCAUCAAUUAUGUCAAAUAGGAUCAAUUUACAAGUUAACUACUUGGACUUAUUGACUAACAAUAGGCUAAAGAAUAGGAAAAUGAAUAAAAAACAAGUUAACUACUUGGAUUUAUUCACUAACAAAUCAAAACAAAUAAACAACUUAGAAACCAAUUCGACUAAGAUCCAGCAUGUGUGUGACCCUUAAAAUUAUUUGCACGGCUUCUUGUGUAGUGGCAUGUAUCAAUUUUGUUUGUCUAUAGCUAGUGUGGAGAAUUUAUUUUUGUUCAUACACGUUGAUAUUAGGGAUUUCACAAGGACAGAAUGCACAAAUAGAGAGUUCCUAACAUUAUUCUAUCAAUAUAAUGCAAGUGUUAUGCCCUAAGUCCAAUCAACCUUGGACAUAAAUACUUUUACUAUAUAAGUAAUGUAAUUUAAUGACAGAUCUAUUAUUUAAUUAAUAGACAAUUAAAUAAAAUAAUAGAGUCUGUAGAUUCAAAUCUUUGUAAUUUGUUAAUCACAAUGAGUUAUGAUUGUGAGAUACAAAUUACAUAUAAUUGAAUUUUAAAUCGUUUGUGAUCAUAACUAAUAAUGAGAUAUUGAUAUCAUUAUUACGGAUAGACCAUCACGUGUGACAUUCUUACUUAUGAAGUAAGUAGCUGAUCUCACAAGUUAAAGUGUGGUGACACUUAAAUGAACACGUGAAUAUUUUGUUAUAGAACAAAACAUUGGAGACCCGUCUAGAGAUUCCAUAUGAAUAACUAUUUGAGUGUCAGUGGUUAGUCUCUAACGUUCGGUAGUGGGAUUGGUCAUUUGACUUGAAGUCGUUAUAGUACCUUAUAUGAGGAUAGUCAUGCUUUGACGGUGUUGGAUGUUGCUCUGUCAAGAGCCAUUAAUACGGCAUCGUUCGGGUAUGUCAAGAAUCGUAUGAAGGUUGUGAAUGACCAAUAGAGGAUUCAUCACUUUUAGAUAGUAAGAGAUUAUGAUCUACAUUUCAUUCAAUUAAGUCGAUAACGAAAUCCUUGACCAAUGUGAUAUUGAAUUAAUAGUGGAGUGAAAGAUAUGAUUGAUAAUUGAGGUUGACACACUUCUAUAUUUCGUAAUUAAUCAGAUCAUAUUGACGAAUGGAUAAUAGUUUCACGGUAAACGAACGAGUUUGAUUUUGUCAAACCACGUGAUAUUUUUCGUCACAUGUAUUGCCCUAACACAUUGUUAGAUGUCAAUCUGGGACGGCGAGUAUGAAUUGGUGAUAAAUUAAAAGAGUGUUUUAAUUUAUCAAUUUUGAUUAGAUCAAAAUAAUAUUUCACGUCGUUAGGCAUCGUGAUCAGGAAUCUGAUGGGUCGCACAAAAAAGGAGAUCUGGAAGAUUGUGAUUUGUCAAUUAAUUAACUUAACAAGUGUUGAAUAAAUUAAUUAAUUGGGUUGCUUAUUUAUAGGUCUGAAUUGAUUAAUUGGAUUAAUUAAUUCACGAAUCAGAUUUAAUCAAAUGAGUUAAUUAAAUGUUGGAUCGGGUCAGGCCAAGCUCGUUUGAGCUUAUAUAUAUAUAUAUAUAUAUAUAUAUAUAUAUAUGUAUAUAUAUAUAUAUAUACAUGUAUAUAUAUGUAUAUAUAUAUAUAUGUAUGUAUAUAUAUAUAUAUGUAUAUAUAUAUGUAUAUAUAUGUAUAUAUAUGUAUAUACAUGUAUAUACAUGUAUAUAUAUAUAUAUAUAUGUAUAUACAUAUGUAUAUAGAUGUAUAUGUAUGUAUAUACAUAUAUAUACAUGUAUAUACAUGUAUAUAUAUGUAUAUACAUAUAUAUACAUCUAUAUACAUAUAUAUAUAUAUAUAUGUAUGUAUAUACAUAUAUAUAUAUGUAUAUACAUAUAUAUACAUGUAUAUAUUAGGGUUUUCAAAAUUGAAGUGAUUUUCGUUAUUCUUACUAGCACAAGAAAAAUUUCAAUACUACAAUCUUGUUCUCUGUGUGAAUCACCAUUGGAGAUUGGACAGUUGUGGGUGACAGAUCAAAGCUGCUGGAACAAGGAAAAAGCAAUGGAAUUUGUAGAUCUCGUAAAAUAUACAAUCUUUAUCACAGUUUUCUAUCUAAACAUAAAGACGAUUUUUGGUGGGAAUCGAAAAUUGUUUUAAAUUUUCCCUUCACACGUUAAGUAGAUUCUCAAUAGUGGUAUCAUAGUCUAUUUUGUGUUUGUUAGAAAUUGUUUUGCAUUAGUGAAUAGUCAAAAUUUGAUUGUUCAUACUUUUCUUGGAUCUAGCAAUUUAGAAAGUGAUGUUUCAUAUUCAAAAUCCGACUUUGAAAAAGAAAAUGGAUUUUUGGAAGAAGAAAGGAGGGGGGGGGGNUCUGAAUAUUUCCAGUAGCCACCGUCGACACUAGUGGCACAAAAGUGCUCGACAGUGUCGAGCACCUCUACUAUUGUAGCAGCAGUACCGACUGUCGGCGCUGUUGAUUGUGGCAGCGUGCGACGCUGCUGUUUCAGCAACGUCGCGCGCUGCUGUAUGACAACUGCUUGUAGCUGCUGCCUUAGUAACAGACUGUAUGACAGUGGCGACGAUCCGCUGCCAUAUCCAAAAGUUAUUCAUUUUUAUUAUUAUAUAUAUUUUUAGUCGGGUGAAAGGUUGGUUGGAGGCGAGGCUUCUACUGCAAUUAGCAUAAUUACGAGGGCCCGCCUGCAAUUAUAUUAUGGAUGGGGUCAAUUGUACAUAAAAGGGGACCCUUUUAUAAUUUGGGAUAUUGAAGGGCCCGUUAUGCUAUUUGCCGAAUUGGGAGGCCUCAUUUAUAAUUUUUAUAUUGGGUCAAAAUGCAAUUUGUUUUUGAAAGGGAUUUAAAUGCAAUUUUGAAAAGGUUUUAUGAACUAUUUUAAUGUUAAGAACAAUGGUUGUCCAUGCCUAUCUUGAUUAAAGAUCUUAAUGGUUGUGGUAAACUAUAAUAUAACAUUUAUAUUCUAAAUACUAAGCAUUCUAUAAUGAGUAUAGAAGUUAAGAGACAGAAAAGUGAUAAUUUGAAUAUUACCUAAAUCUACCAUGGGAGACUUUGUUAUAUAGAUGAAAUGCAAUUCCAAAGUUACAAAGAGAUGUAUACUUGGUGUCAAUUGAUUUUGACAAGUACGAAUUGUGCAUGUCUGACAUAAUGACCAAAUCUCUUUUUACUUGAAAAUGAGAAAGGUUUGCAUAAUUACUGGUCUAAUGCAUACUGUCGCGUAUGGACCCAUGUCAAAUUAUGUCAGGUGAAGUUUCUCUUAUUUCAUCAAAAUUACUAAUGACUAUUACAGAAAUAGUCAUAUAUGCUUGAUGAAAUCCAAGCGUGAAACUCUUGAAAGGUUCAAGGGAUUCAAACUUAAAGUAAAGAAACAAAUAGGUAGAGAUAUUCUCACAUCAAGAUCUGAUUGAGAUGAGAAUAUCUUAAAGAAUGAAAUUUUAGAUUAUCUGAAAGAGAAUGAGAUUUUCUUGUAGUGGACUCCUACAUAUACACUGUACCAGUGGUGUAUCGAAAAAGAUGAAUCAUUAACUAUUAGAUAUAGUGCGAUUAAAAACAAGCCAUGUAAAUUUCUCAAAAUCGUUUUGGGGUCAUGCACUAAUUGCAAUGUGUUACACACUAAAUCAUGUCACAUCUAAGUUGGUUAACACAAUUCCGUACGAGCUAUGGAAAGGCAAUAGUCCAAACUUAUCUCAUAUGAAAGUUUGGGACUCUAACGUUUAUUUGAAGUGCAUUGAAUCGGAUAAACUAGAGUAUAUAUAUUCGAUGAAUACAUAUUUGUGGGAUAUCCAAAACAAAUAUUUGGAUAUCAGUUCUAUUAUUCCAUUGAGAAGAAAGUCUUUGUCUCACGAUACGUCAUCUUCUUAGAGAAAAUAUUUACUCUAGGAGAGGAUAAUAGAGCAAAAUAGAACUUGAAAGAGUUCAAGAGUCCACAGACAUAGUUAACCAAGUAGAUGAAUUCGAGUUUGAUCCCAUAUCCGAUGUGGGGCAUACUCUUGAUCAAGAAGUAGAGACUUCUCAGGACAUGUUAGCUUUGUGUGAAUCCAGUAGGAUCAUUCGAUCUCCAAGAAUGUGCAAACCCAUGAUUACUAAACAUGUAUUAUUGAUCGAAGGUGAUGAACCUACUAAUUAUGCAGAAGCAGAGUCAAGUAUUGACUCAAGCAGAUGUCAGGAGGUCAUGAAAUUCAAAAUGAACUCAAUGUAUGAAAAAUAAGGUUUGAACCUUGGUCGACCCUCUUGAUGGAAUAAAACUCAUAUUUCAUAAAUAGUUUAUGAGAAAAAUGUCGAUGUGAACCGAAAUAUCCAUACCUACAAAGAAAGGCUAGUAACAACGGUCAAAUAUUGAUCUUGGUGAAACCUUUCUCUUGUAGCUUUGCUGAAAUCCAUUCAGAUUUUGGUUGCAACAGUUGCAUACCGUGACUAUGGGUUAAAACAUGUCUCUUAGAGUUGAAAUCUUCGGUUUGAUGGAAAAGUCAAAAUGUUUGAUUUUAUCAAAUUUGAAGACGAAUUGUAUGUUUGCAAAAAGAUAGUGGGAGCAUUAUCACAUUCCUGAUAUUAUAAGAAACGACAUCCAUAUGUUUCAAUCGUUGAAAUAAUGGUCGUUAUGUGAAACAAUCGUUGGUUUAAUAGCAAAAAUCUAAUACAUGAUUGCUUCAGAAGCUGCAAAAAGUGGCAAUGUUGAUUGAUCACAUGUUAUCGUAUUGUGCUAACAAUAGAGCUAUCGCGUAAGCGAAGGAAUUAAGGUCUCAUUUAUGAUCCAAACAUAUAUUAAUGCGACAUAAUCUCAUCAGAGAGAUAAUACAUGAAAAUGACUAAAGAGAAGAACGAAUUUCCACAUUUGACAAUAUUACAAAUCCACUGAGAAAGAGUUGUCGUAGCAUAAAAAUAGAUCAUCAUGUAGAUUUUUAUGAUAUUGGAUAUAUAAGUGAUUGAAUCUAGUGCAAGUAAGAGUUUGUAAGUGUUAUGCUCUAGGUCCAAUCAACCUUGGACAUAAAUACUUUUAAUAUAUAAUUAAUGCAAUUUAAUGACAAAUCUAUUAUUUAAUUAAUAGACAAUUAAAUUAAAUAAUAGAGUACGUAAAUUCAAAUCUUCGUAAUUUGUUAAUCACAAGGAGUUGUGAUUGUGAGAUACAAAUUACAUAUGAUUGAAUCUUAAAUCAUUCGCGGUCGUAAGUAAUAAUGAGAUACGGAUAUCGUUAUUACGGAUAAACCAUCAUGUGUGACAUUUCUUACUUGUGAACUAAGUAGCUGAUUUCACAAGCUAAAAUGUGGUACACUUGAAUGAACACGUGGAUGUUUUGUUAUAGAACAAAGCAUUGGAGGCCCGCCUAGAGAUUCCACAUGGAUAAUUAUCUGAGUGUCAGUGGUUAAUCUUUAACGUUCGGUAGUGAGAUUGGUCCUUUGACUUGAGGUUGUUAUAGUAUCUUAUAUGAGGACAAUCAUACUUUGAUGGUGUUGGAUGGUGUUGGAUGUUACUCUGCCAAGGGCCGCUAAUACGACAUCGUUCAGGUAUGUCAAAAAUCAUAUGAAGGUUAUGAAUGACCAAUAGAUGAUUCGUCACUCUUAGAUAGUGAGAGAUUAUGAUCUGCAUUUCAUUCAAUUAAGUCGAUAACGAAAUUCUUGGCCAAGAUGAUAUUGACUUAAUAGUGGAGUGAAAGAUAUGAUCGAUAAUCGAGAUUGACACACUUUCAUAUCUUGUAAUUGAUCGGAUCAUAUUGACGAAGGGAUAAUAAUUUCACGGUAAACGAAAAAGUUUGGUUUUGUUAUACCACGUGACAUUUUUCGUCACAUGUAUUGUUCUGACAUAUUGCUAGAUGUCAAUCUGGGACGGCGAGUGUGAAUUGGCGAUAAAUUAAAAGGGUGUUUUAAUUUAUAGUUUUGAUUAUAUCAAAAUAAUAUUUCACGUAAUUAGACAUUGUGAUCGGGAACCUGAUAGGUCGCACACAAAAGGAGAAUUGGAAGAUUAUGAUUUGUCAAUUAAUUAAUUUAACAAGUGUUGGAUAAAUUGAUUAAUUGGGUUGCUUAUUUAUAGGCCUGAAUUGAUUGAUUGGAUUAAUUAAUUCACGGACCGAAUUUAAUUAAAUGGGUUAAUUAAAUGUUGAACCGGAUCAGGCCAAACCCGUUUGGGCUUAUAUAUAUAUAUUUCAAAAUUGAAGUGAUUUUCAGUAUUCUUGCUAGCACAAGAAAAUCCCUAAUACUACAAUUUUGUUCUAUGUGUGGAUCACUGUUGGAGAUUGGACAAUUAUGAGUGGCAAAUCAAAGCUUCUGGAACAAGGAAAAAAGCAAAGGAAAUUGCAAAUCUCGUAAACGGUACAAUCUUUACAAUUUCUAUCUAAACACAAAGACGAUUUUUUGUGGAAAUUGAAAAUUAUUUUAAAUUUUCGCUGCGCACGUUAAGUAGAUUCUCAACAUAUAAUACCUACUAAAUUCCUGUGUCCGAGAAAAUUCUUAUACCUUUCUCUCUGCAAUAUGCAAACCUCAAAUUCAGGCUUUCCUAUAAUAUGCUAACCUCCAAUUGAGGUUGGUCAAAAAUUUGAUGUGGUGGGAUUUGGGGACUAGUUUUGUUGAUGGUAUUUCGAUUUGUAUGGUGGCGACUGCCUUUGGAUGGCAGUGCUGGCAUUGUGUGGGUGGUUGUGGCGACCGAUUGUUGGGCGAUGGUGCUGACCAUUGAUGUGGUGGGAGUGGGAAAGUAGAAGGUGCUAAUCACUGGCCUUUCCAUUUUUCAUGUGGNNNNGUAGAUUUCUUCUUCUUCUUCUUCCUUUUUCUUUUUCAUUUUUUGUUUUUUGUUUUUGUUUUUUUUUUUUUUUAUUAAGCAUUUAUUUGGUGAGAUUAAAAUAAGAUUUUUAGUAAAUUUUGAUAAAAGUUAAUAAAAUGUAUGGUUGAAAAAUUAAGAAUCCUAUAAAAUGCGUGGUUAAUAUUAAUUAUUAACUUUGAAUUAGAUUAAAAUCUUGAUUUUUAAUUGCUAUGAAACAAGGGCUUGGUUAUUUUAUGUUAAAAAUGUAAGGUUAUAAUUUUGUUCUUCUAAAAUUAGUAAAAUUGUGGUCAAGAUCGAUUCUUUGGUCAACGAAUGGUCAUUUGGACCACUGCUGCUAAGUUCUCGAAGUUUUGAGACCUCCGCUGAUAAAAUUAAAGGUUAGAGUAAAUUCUACAAAAAAAAAAAAAAAAUGAAAGAUUAGAAAUCGUUGUUGCAAUUUUCCCAAAAUGCAAUGUCGUGUUUUCAUGGAUUUCUUAUCUGUCAAAGAUAAGAAAAAUAAUAAUAGUAGCCGAUCAUUUUAAAAUUUAUUAUUUUUCGAUUUCCAUGUUACUAACGUGGCAUUUAAAAUUUGUCAAAAUGAAUAGAAAUUGAUCUUAACUUUGCUCGAUGUAACAAAAUGGUCUCACAUUUACUUCAUUUUAGAUGAGUUGUACCAUAUAUUUUGAGUUUUCGGCCAGUCGAUGUCUAAUGUUGGUUGUUAGAAAAGAUAACAUAUUUCUUAUUGAAACAGUAGUUUAACCCGCAUUUUAAUUUUAAAAAUAAGAAAGGGAAAAAAUUUCAUAACAUUAUCUUUCCCAACCCAUGAAGAACCAAUAGGAUUCCCUGUAGGUCCCCAUGCCAUUGAUUAAUACAAAAAUGAAAAAAAUUUGAAAGAUGUGAGUGACGAUGUCGAUGAAGAGAUUAAAAGGAAGAAGUUAGAAAUAUUGAUUGGGAAUGUGAGAGACGUUUGCAAAUAAGUUGGGGGUAGACAUGUAGCGAGCGUAAGCUAGGUUGCACGUGAUGAGAAGUAACUAGGGCUGGGGUUUGCUAUUUUUAUCUAUUUUCCCGUUUCUUUUUAUUUUUUCUUUUAAUAAUUUUCCAAUGUGAAUUGAAAUUUUCCAUCCACGGCUAUAUUGUUUGUUGACUUUAAAAUCUUGUAGGAUACAGAUAUCAACAUAUACUGGUUACAUUCUCAUCUACCUGUUUCAGAAUCUGAACAUAAGAAAUCGAAGUUUGAAGCCAUCUAAGAAGGUUGUUAGGCACAUUUUACUCUUUGAUGCUCAAAUUAAUGCAAGUAAAAUAUAUAUAAAAUUAAGUUAUUUGUACUUGUUGACUUACACUUUGAUUUACCCGAUCCUACUCCUCCUCUCACAUGGAGUCGGGUUCCACGUGGAGCACCAACCCCCAUGUGAGAGGAGGAGGUUGGAUCGGGUAACUCAAAGUGUAAAAUGACAUGUACAAAUAGUAUGACUCAUAUAUAUAAGUUCAAGAAAAACAAAGUGGACAAAGAAUUUGCAAGAGGUUUGAUUGAUUGAUUUUUUAUAUACCUUUUCUUUUAUGUUCCAUGGAAUUUCAAUAGGAAAAACUAGUUUAAAGGAAAAUUGGGCCUUUAUUGAACACUCACCCCUCCAAAACAACACGUGUCGCUUUCUAAUUGGUGAAGACUUUUGAUUUGGGUACUUUGUCAUCUUUUGAUUAAUGGGGAGGUCUUGAUUCUUGUUUGAUUUUGUUUUACACUUUUUAAUGGUUUUAGUCAACUUGGUAGUCAUCAUCUUGCCACAAGAAAAGCUUCAGUCCCUCGUCAUCUUUUAGUACGUUUGUUGAACCCCCACCCAAAAAUAAAAGGGAAAAAAGAAAAAAAAGAAAAAAAAGAAAAAGAAAACACGUAUUGCCAUCUAAUUGGUAAGGACUUUGAUUUUAGCACCUCGUCAUCUAUUGAUUAAUGGCGAGGUCAUUAUCAAGCAACUGAUUCUUGUUUGAUUUUUUUUUUUUAUACUCUCUAAUGGUUUUAGCCUACUUGGUAGUUAUCCUCUUGCCACAUAGAAAAGCUUCCAUACAACAGUUCUAUAUGUAGAUAUGGUGUGAUCAUCCAUUUUAAAUCACGACGUCUAGAAUUGUGAGCCAUGCAAAAGGUAAUACCUUGACAUUCGAGAUUGUAAGAUAGAAAUAAAGUGAGUGUGUGAUGUCGAUGUGUCAAAUUUUGAAUGACACAAAUUUCAAAGUAUUGUAUUUGAGUGGACGAUCUUACAACAUGUGCAUAUAGGAUUGCCCUACUAAAUCUUCUCUCCUUUCCAUAUGACAAAGGAAUAAUCUGCAAUUCCUUUAUUUAAACAAGCAAAGUGGGUUGUGAGCAUAAACAAAUUCACUUGCUUGCGUCAAAGUAAAUAUACAUUUUGAUCUGAGAGGAAAAAUAUCAAAAAUGUAAUUAUUCAGAUAACUAAUGUAUAAACAUUACAAAUUGAUUUUUUUAGCAUUUAGUUAAUUCAAUUGUCAAGGCUAGAAUAAAAUUUACAAUCUGAGAUCUCAAAAUGAAAUACGAAGAGUUCAACAUGCAGGUUUUUAUUAUUCCAAUCAAAAAGUAACACAAAAAUUAUGCCGGACUAUGCUACACUAACCUAUGGCUUGACAGAGGCCAUGACAAAUCAAGGGGGGAAAUUAUUUUUUUAUUUGUGUGGGAUCCACAGCAUGUGAGACAAUGUCAUCCCUUCUGUUAGAAUUUUUCGGGCAUUCCAGCAUUUUCCAAUUAUGCCAACCCAAUUGCACCUCUCAUUAAAUGAAAAAUAAAUCAUCUUCCAAUCAAUAUUUAACACACGAAUACAAAUUUAUUACUUGUCUUGCAUUUUUGUACAUAACCAAGUGAUCAAUUAAAGUGGCGGGGCAAAUGAAAAAAUGAAGCGUAAGCCAAAUAUAACAUAACUAAACGCCGCCAUACAAAAGAGAUGAAGGGGCUGCUGUUUAUGAGGCGCACCGCAUUGGGUACACCACUGGUUUGACCACCGUUGCAGGUUACCGUACCUCCACCACCACUGCCGCCUCCUCCAUCGCUGGAGCAACUGUAGAACUGAGGAAGAGGCAGAUGAUUGAAAGCACAAGAACUAAUUUUGCGUGCUACAUCUAUUGUUUCUAUUCAGCAAUACCAAGAUUGGAAUUCCCUUAAGAUGGGAAAUGGAACGUUCAAGCUUAGAAUUAAUUACACUUGCAAGAAUAUUCUUGUUUAUAUUUUAUUAUUUUCAUUGGAAGCAAUUUAUAUUUUAUUAUUUGAUAGUGUAGGCUGUACACACGUCUAAGCUUGUCCCCGAAAAAAAAGAAAAAAAAAGCACACGUAUAUGCCGCCUGACCGUCCAAAUUAAAAAGAAAUCAAGACGCCUAACCGUCCAAAUUAAAAAAAGAAAUCAAGAUAUUUAUAACCGGAAAACUUCAAUGUCGUGAUAUCAUGGAGUUUUUGUUUGUCAAACAUAAUAAUAAAAUAAUAAUAAUGUUGACCUCGGAAAUAGUACCUUCCACGUGGUUAAUCGAUAGCCACUCCACGUAUUCUUCUCUGCGCACAAUCAACGCACGGUCAAAUGCACACGGUCGGAACCAAAGGAGGUGGUGGCGGCCGUAUACACUCCGACGGUCAAGUUAGACUCAGGUGAUCGGAACAAUACUAAGGUUGUGCAAAAUAAUGGAGAGCAGAAUAUAUGUUUACUUGCUAUGGAGUGCUAAGUAGAAAGAGUUUUAUUACCUCUGCCUCUUGUCAAGUCUUAGAUAUUUAUAGGUGAGGAGAGCUGUUGGAUGUGAGACACAUGUAUACAUCUGAACGGUAUGAGACAUCUGCUCAUAGACGUCAAUCAGCCGCAUCUAUAGAGUGGGCGGAUAGUUAUUUCUCCCGAGUUGAGUUGACAUAAAGUUGAUACGUCACAUCAACUAGCCUCAUGGAGACGUCAAAUCACUUUAAACCUUAGGGGCAGAAAAGAUCUUGACAAAGAUCUCAUUUUGAAAUCGGCGGCAGAUCCUUAGGCCAAGGUCCCCGGGGUUCAUUUCGCCCCGGAUUCAAGGGGCAAGGGCGCUUCGGUCAGUCCUGCAGAAUUACCCAUGCCUCGUAGUGUGAUAGCAGAUCAUCUCCAUUGGUGAAGUUACAUCGAAACCACUUCGGAUGAGCGUUCCACACCGCGCCUGAUGUGGUGGUGGACUUUCCGAAGUGUUUCAGUUGGGGGCAUAACAAAUAAUAUUACAAAAAAUCGUAUUUAGGAUUAUCUGAACUUGAUUUGAGAAAACAGGAGGGGUUAGCAUGAACACGACCUCCGAAAAAUGCUAGGGCAUUCUCAUAGCACCUAUGUUGCUUAUUUAGCGAGUAAUUAUAUAUAUAUAUAUAUAUAUAUAUAUAUAAGAAUGAGACUAUAAGGUGAGCAAUAACAAAAAAAACAUGCCAAAAUAAUGAAUUAGGCAUGAAUAUAAUAUAGCGACGGUAAGACAUGUAAUUGAAACGUCCAUGAAAUAACAACGAGUUAACCAAAUAGGAUUGGACUACAGAUGGCUUUAGAAUUCUCAUUGGGAUCAGAAAAUAGGAGACAUGGUGGAGUAGUACUGCUCAUCAUAGUUGGACAGUGAACCCUGGGAUGAACCCAUACCAGAUCGGCGACAAUCGAGAGAUGAAGUGGGAUAGUCCUACAAACCAAAAAGAAAUCGGGGUCCUUGACCUCAAGUUGAAGGUGUCCACCUCGAGGAUCAAGACGAAACUAGGGACUGCAAUGCGUACACGUUCAAGGCUAAGGUGCUCGAGCUAGAGCUCGAAAGUUAUAGUAUCAUUAGUGGCCCUGUAAACCUAAGGCCAAGUCGGGGUCAGGUGCACCACAAUCAGUCCUUGGACGUGUAAGCAACACGCAUACGUAUAAUGGUCAAAUUAUUUGAAGGGAAGUCUAUUGUCACUCAGAAAUAGUGUAGUGUCAUAUAAUAAUGAGGCAAAAGACGUGCACUAUCAUGUUUAAACCCUAUAAAUAUUCCCUCCCCAUUUUUACUUUUUACCAAACCUUGAGAAACAAAGAGCUCGUGCACUGAACCUAAAGGUAAGACCUUAGGGUAUUUUUAUUUUUUAUUUUUUUUUUCACAUAGGACAUAUGGAUAAAGGUAAGGAGAGCGAAAUAAUGAGGGUAGAAAGGUAGAGGUUAGCAACAAUAUUUGAGGCCUUGGACUCUAUUGAUGCGAGUAUAGAGGAUCUCGGGUGAGUGACCAGGAUGGAGAUGAGAUCGAGGACCCCGAAAUGAGUGAACAAGGAGAGGACGAGGAGAGCGAUGAGUUCGAAGACCCCGAGGUGAGUGAUCAAGCCGAUAAUACCUAGGAUAUACAUAUAGGAAUACCAAUUAGGCCGAGGAUAGGGAGCAUAUGCCUAGAAGUACCCGAUGCACCAUUUUUCAACCUCUAUCAAUGGUGUAAAUGACCUUAUUAUGGACAAGUUUUUGAUUUUUUUGGUCAUUUCUAUAAGUUAGACAUAUUCUCAUUAUUAUAUAUAAAACCAUGAUUAAGCCCAGGUUAUAAUAUUCUGGUUAAGGCUUGUGUUUUCUUAAUAUAUUUCAUGUAAUUCGUUAUGUACAAGCAUGAUUUGGUUGCACUAAAGUUCAUGUUGAUUUAAUUGUGUUAUGGUUCGCAUUUAAAUGGCAUCUAUGUCUGUGAUGAGCCAAUGCUAGAGGUGACAAUCGAGCCGAUCAGCUUGUCAGCUCGAUCGCUUGGGCUUGUAUUUAAACGAACUCGAGCAUAAACUAAGCCGGUUGGCUCACCCAUGGGUGAGCGGAGCCCAUGAGCUACGAGCUCGUGGCUCAUGGUGAACAUUGACCAAAAUUGUCACUUUUUUAAAAAGUCGCUGUUGAAACUUCAGUGACCAUUUCCAAUCGAUCAUUGAAAUUGCAAAUUGGCCGAUUUGACCACCUUUUUUUUUCACUCUAUAAAUACCCCAAUCCAUUUUCAAAGUUUUCACACAAUAUUUCAAUAACAAUUCACUCUCUUGCUUCUACACAAUCUACCACUACAUUUAACAUUCGUUUCUUAUUUUUUACCUUCAAUUUCAGUUACCCAUUUAACACACUACAAAUUUACUUACUUAUACUUACUAUACACUAACACUAUACAUAUUCUAUACAUUUCAUCACAACUUCAAAAUUCAUAAAUGGAUUCACACUCAUUUAUUGAGGGCUUGUUCGGCGAUGUCGAAGGCAAAUCACCUAUGAUGACGCAAAAUCAAAUUUCAGAAUGAAUUUUUGGGUCUCAACAAGUACUAAUUCUCGAAAAUAUUCUAGAUUUUAAUGCUUAUUGAAAUAGUAAUUCAAUUGAUUUGGAUGACGUUGAUGUUACUGAAGCAGAACAUGACUUAGAUAUUUCCAAUACAAGACGAAAGUGAAAGGGGAAAAAUAGGCAAAAUGUUGUGAUCACUUUAAAUUGAUUCCAAUGGAUGGUGUGGUUGAUAGAGUUAUAGAGUCUAAAGCGGUAUGUAAAUAUUAUCAAUAACAAUUGACAUGGCAGAAGGGCAACCUGAACCGUCAAUACAAAGCAUAUAACUACUGCACACUACAAUAUGAUAUUUUCUUAAUACAAACAAUUGAUUACUGAUUUGAAAAGAUAUGAGGAUGUUAUAUAUUUAAUCGUGGAUAUAUGGCAACUGCACACUACAUAGACCUACUUUGGUAUAUACAUAAAAAAUUAUUGUUUUUAAAAUUAUUGAUUUCCCUCACAAUGCUAAUAGUAUAAAUAACACUAUUAUGAACAUUAUUAGAGAAUAUUAUUGUGAGAGUAAAACGCGUUCUUUUAUGUUUGACAACGCUAGUGUUAAUAAGCCAGUCGAUAAAUUGUGCAGGGUCCUACAGCCCGAUUUCGGUGGUUUUUUAUUUCAUAUUCGUUGUAUGUGUCAUAUUUUUAAUAAUUGUGCCGGAUUGUUUAAAACAUAUUAAGAAUAAGCUUCAAAGAAUUAGGGGUACACUAAUAUAUAUCACGACUUCACCUAGUAGAUAACAAGCUUUUGAGGAAUUUUGUGUCAAUUUUGAGCUAAAUUUAGAACAAAUUUUAUGUGAAAUGUACGAAUUAUAUCAAACUGAAUAUUCACUAUGGUACUAAACAUGUGCUAACUUUUCUUUACAAUAUCUACCUGACCUUGUAAGAUGUAUAACUGGAACCUCUUACACCCCUUCAUACCUAGAGAAAUAAUAAGUUGAACUCAUUUAAGUUGUAAGAUGGACAUGAAAUUUACAAAAAUUGAAAGAUAUACUCAUUACUUAUAUUCUAAUGAAAACACUAGAACCACUUUGCUUUCAUCAACUUUAUAUUAUAUAAUCUGUAUCAUUUCAACAGUUCUUUGUCGCGUCAACUUCUUUGUCUUACGUUAUUGGUUCAAUGUUUGAGAUCGUUGAGUUGGAAAACAAAUAAAAAAAUUAAAAAAAAAAAUCAAUACAACGACACAAAGUGACAUUACUAAGAAGAAAUCAACCAUAAUAUUGUUCUGUUUGUAAAAAUGAUUAUAAGCAAUCACUUUACAAAAAUUGAGAGAUAUACUCAUUACUUAUAUUCUAAUGAAAACACUAGAACCACUUUGCUUUCAUCAACUUUAUAUUAUAUAAUCUGUAUCAUUUCAACAGUUCUUUGUCGCGUCAACUUCUUUGUCUUACGUUAUUGGUUCAAUGUUUGAGAUCGUUGAGUUGGAAAACAAAUAAAAAAAUUUUAAAAAAAAAUCAAUACAACGACACAAAGUGACAUUACUAAGAAGAAAUCAACCAUAAUAUUGUUCUGUUUGUAAAAAUGAUUAUAAGCAAUCAUGUCUCAUUCGUGAUUGAGAAGUAAUAACUUUAACUUAUUUAAGUUGUAAGAUGAAGAUGAUAUUUAGAAAAAUUGAGAGAUAUGCUUAUUAUUUAUAUUUUAAUAAAAUAAUAUAAUCAAAUGUACUUUCAUUAACUCUAUAUCAUUUGAUCUAUAUCAUUUCAACCAUUCUUUGUCAAGUGAUCAACAAUUUCUGUUUUUCAUACGUUAGGGGUUCAACAUUUGAGAUCAUUUCAUUGGAAACAAAUCGAAAUAUAGAAGAAAUCAAUAGAACGACACAAGUGACAUUACUAAGAAGAAAACAGUCUUUGUGUUGUUCUAUUUUAAACAUGCUUAUAAGUAGCUACGUCCUAUCCGUGCCUCGAGAAACAAUAAAAUGAACUCAUUUAGUUGUAAAUGAAAAUGACACUUACAAAAGUUGAGAGAUAUGCUCUUUACUUUUAUUUUAUUGAAACUAAUAAAAACACUUGUACAUUCAUAUAUUUUAUAUAAUAUAAUUUAUGUCAUUUCAAUCGUUUUUGUCACAUGAUCAACUUUUAUGUCUUACAUACAUUAAGGUUCCAAUGCUUGAGACCGCUAUGUUGGAAACAAAUCAAAAUAUAGAAGUAAUCGACACGAAAUAAGUGACGUUACUGAGAAGAAAAUGGCUCGUGUCCUUCUAUUUUUAAAUACGAUUAUAAAUUGCCAAAACUCAUCUGUGUCUCGAGAAAUAAUAAGUUAAUUCAUUUAAGUUAUAAAUAACAGAUAAUGAAUGUGCUGCCCUUUUUUAUUAUAACAACCAUAGUGUCGUUCUACACUGCAGAUAAUGGUUGUAGUGCUGUUAUCAUUUGAUAGUUGUAGAAGCACAAAAAUGCAGUAAAUACAAAAACCAAUAAGUUCUAAAAUAUCAUUCCAUAAUAAAUUCAAUAAUAAAAGUAUAAUUACAUGAGAUUUGUAAAAAAUACAUUUCGUCCUUCCUCAAUGCAAUUGAAAUUUAAAUGUAGAUAAUAUGGUAAUCAAACUAUUGUUCAAAUGUCCAAAAGAUAUCCAAAAUAGGUGAAAAAUAUAAUGUAGAACGUGAUUUUACGGUAGAAAUCGUGAAAGCCAAAGAGAAGAAAACGGUUGGUUGUGAUUUUGGGGCCCUAAAAUUAAAUUGGGAAUGUAAUUUGAAUUGAGGAAUUUAGUUGAAUUGAAAAGGGUGUUAAUGUCUUUUCCAAUGAUGGGGAUAUUUAUGACAUUUGACAUUGUUUAUCAAUUGUAUUUUAUAAUUAGAGGCCAUUUGACCAAGAAACAAUGGGAGGAUAUUAUUUAACCAAAGACAUGGUUUGAUUAGGCUAUUUAACCAAUUCUCCCUUUUUUCUAUUUCUUAUUGCUUUUAUUGACUUUCCAUUAAAAUGACUUGAAUCGACAUUGUUCAUCGAGGACUAUUGCCACAAACCUGUAAGUUUAGGACAUCUCCUGCGAAAAAGAAAAGGACAAAAAAAUGAGAGGCCAAGGACCUAUUUGUUACAUCAUGAUGAAAAGGUUGGAAACCUUAGUAUUAACUUAUCUAAAAUGAAAAUUAAGAUUUAGUUCCAUGAGUUAGCUCCUAAAGCUGUUGCUAUUAGGCACUUUGUAGUUCUUAGUUAACAAGAAAGUAAAUGAUGUAUUUUCAAUUGUGGUCUUAAUUUUUCAUUGGUUUUCGUUUUCUCUCCUUUAAAUACAUAAAAUCACGGAUUAAAUGGGAUUUACGUGUAGCGACGAUGUUGUUUCGACAAUUUUCUUGUCAAUUUUUUAUGAGAAAAGAUGAAUAAAAUUAACAUUCACAUAUCGGUUGCCUUCACCGUAUUCACACUUAAUGGACUUGUUGUCAAAGUGCAACGAGAGCUGCAUAAUCUUUGUCCGUUGAGAAUAAUGAUUUUCUCAUUUAACAAAUCAUACAUAAGAUAAUCGCAAUCAACUAAUGUAUCAUCAAUAAUUCCGUAAAAACUUUUGUAUUUUUGUACAAAUAAUGUAUAAAUUAAAUAGGUGUGGAAAGUGAUAAUUAAACCUACUUCAAUAAUGCAACCCAAGAAAUAAAGCAUAAACUAAGUACGGCAUACUUAAACAUGACCAUGUUAUAGAGGUAGAUGGGCUGCUAUUUUUGGUGUGGCCACUUGGAUUGCCAUUUAGUGGACGCACCACACCACCGCCACCACCAACGCCGCCACCCCUUGCUCCACCGCCUCCACGACCAACUGCAGUGGUGAGGAGGAGGCAAAUUAUUGUAAGCACGAAAGCAUAUUUUAUAGCGCGCUGCAUCUCUUCAAUGUCUAUUAAAAAGCUCACAAGAAUUGAGUUUUUCCUUUUUCUGGAGAAUAAACUGAAUUUUGAAACUCUCCUGCUGCUGGUGCCCUCAGAUCUCUGAUUCAUGGAUCUUAUAUAUACAGCAGUAGCACACGACAACGCGGUGCGGCGGAAAACUCCACGAAGUAUUGGUUGAAAAUCAAAAUAGGCGUGUCUCAUAGUUAUACAAAUGGCGGAAAGUCUCUAUCAUGAUAGUCAAAAAGUUACAGCUCCUAAAUUAAGGGUGCAAUUUGGUAUUAAUUUCCAUUCAUUUUCACCGCAAGUCUGAAACAAUUUAUUAAUAAUCUCCCAUGUGCACAAAUUUCAUUAAAUUUUAAUAUGGAUAUACUAGAAAUUUUCGCAGCCCCGUAUGGAAAGCCAGCAUUCUCUUAUCACUUUUUAUUUGACAUGUAUAUUAAAUAAAUGACACUGAAGUUUAAUUAAGAUUCAUAAAAAAAUAUAUACACACACUUAUAUGAUGAAAAGUGGCCGAAAGUAUAGACUUUCAAUACUGUUUGAUCGCCUUUAAUUUACUUUAAUUUAUUUCUUAUAUUUAUUUUCAACAAUACAUUCAUAUAAUAAAAUAUACUACAUGUAAAUUCAAAACUUCUUCCUACUUUUUAAUCAUAUAUUCUCCAAAAAAAAAAAAAAAAAUACUAUUCACAACAAAUGUUUUUUUUUUUUUUUUUUAAUUAAAGUUCACAAAAUAGGGGCUACGAGAGUACUAAAGUUUUUUCAAAUAUAGGUGAUCAUGUUUAAUAAAACUUUUGAUAAAAGUUUUUAUAAACUUUGAUAAAAGUUAUUAAAAUAUAUAGCCAUUGUUCUAUAAAAAUUUUAAUCUUUAAUCUAAACCAAAGUCAAUUAAUUUUAAUAAUACAUUUUAUGGGAUUCAUAAUUUUUUUCACCACAUAUUUCAUUAACUUUUAUCAAAAUGCACUAAAAAUUUAAUUUUAAUUUUGACCAAAUAGAAACAUAAUUAAAAAAAAAUGAUAAAAUUUUGAAUCUCAUUAAAAUUGUAGCUAAAAUUUAUUAUUAACUUUUGCACUAUCAUUUAAUUUUUUUUAAAACUAUUUCAAUAAACGCACAAUAAAGGACGAAGGGUGAGUACGAGUUUCCUUAAAAAUGGACUCAUUUGUUAGUGUCGAUUUGAUUUGUGUCUUAGUUUUUAAUUUUGAGUUUUGAACUCAUUUUGAUGUUCUGUUUUGAGUGUUUAUUUUAAGAUUGCUAAAAAAGUGAUUGGUUAAUUAUUUCGAAAAAUUAGUUUUCAAAAUAGAAAACACGUUUGGCUUGAAAUUUUGAAAAGUCAUUUUAUGAAAUUUUAUUCUACAAAAUCUGAUAAUUUCUUUAGUGAUAUUCCACUAUUAUUUUCUCUUCUCUUUCCUCUCCUGGUUGCUUGGAAAGCAUCACCCCCUUUGUGUCCUUUGUAGGUUAGAAGAAGGGUAAUCGGAGUGGGUAGAAAUAGGCAAUCUACAAUUUGGAUGGCCUAAGUUAUUGAGUUGGAUUUAGUUAGUUGAAUGGUGAUAUUAGUUAGCCAAUUUGUUUUUUACUUUUGCCCAUGUGUUAGAGGCCCAUUUAGAGUGAGAGAUUGGCCCAAAAAGUGACCUAAUGUUUGGGAGAGAUUUCUACCAUUGUUGUUUGUUCUUCUUCUUCCUACUCAUUCUAAUACCACUACCAUCAUUCUCCUUUGUGGGGUUGAGAGGACUUGUUGCAACCAAAGUGAAUGCAACGUAUAGUUAAGAAAUCUAUGAUUUUUGGGUUUUAAAACGGGUUGAAAAAGCCUUGGUGAUUGUGGUGUUCAUUUGGUUAAUUUUUCUGAGAUCAUAUCAAGAUUUCUCCAAAAAAUGGUAUUAGAGCUUGUAUAGUUAAGAAAUCUAUGAUUUUUGGGUUUUAAAACGGGUUGAAAAAGGCUGAAAACAAAGUUGGAAACCGGGUAGAGAGAUGGAUAAAAUUUUGGGAUUUUAUUUCAAAGCUAUUGAAAUUGUUUUGGUGUUUUUCUACCAAACCACUUAUCUGUUGGAGAAACAGAGACCAUUGAUGGACUUGGCAGGGCGGGGCUCAUUAGGGUGGCUAGCACGUGAGGUUCAACAUCGACCCGCAGAAUGUCGGUGAGGCCCGUGACGACACGUCAAGAAGAUUCCGCCAAUGGCAUCAAAAGAUAAUUUGUUGCCGACAACGAGACAGACUCUGUGAUGUUGUCGAAUUUUUAUUUCAAGCAGUAUAGUGAAAUCUAGAUGACUUUGCCCAUCGAUGUUCGGGUGUCGGGUACCAUUUUGUAUUGCUGGGGUUGCUGAAAAUUUUAGGAUGAAUAGUGGCGGUAGCCAGGGAUGACAAUCGGGCUCGUCGGCUCGGGGCUAGGUAGACCCGAGCCUAGGCUCGGGCCGAGCCCCAUUUUGGGGACCCUGGCUUUGCUCGAGCCGGCCCGUGAACUCGAAAGCUUUUUUAAAAAAAAAAAAAAUUUGAGGCUGCCUUGUCUUCAAGGAAGCAAUUUAGGGAAAAUAAAUAAAUAAAUAAAUAAAAAUAAAAGAAGGGAGAAAACGAGCCUGCCCAGCUCGGGUCGAGCCUUUUUUUUGGCCGAGAGCCCGCAAAAAAGCUCGAUCAUUUUAACCGAGCCGAGCCCGAGUCAAAACUUUAAGCUCGCGAGCAGGCUCGGCCCGGCUCGUUUACAUCCCUAGCGGUAGCCCUAAAGUAGUGAAUUCUCAUCUUUCCUAGUAGAUAUUGUCCGUCUGGUAUCAUAUUGUUUGCCUUUUAUUAUUGCUGUAGAGACUUGUGUAGCAUGGUCAUUUAUUUUAUCAUUAGAAAUCGUGUGGGGGUGAUGUUAGGUUUGGGUUACCUUGAAAGGGUAACCAUUGCCCAUUGUUAAACUUAGGAAUUACUUGUUAAUUAUUCGCCAUAAAUUAUUUAUGAAUUUAUUGCCAAAUAAUUUUUUCACUGUUACAAUUGCAAGUGACCUUAAGAAAGCUUUGUUUGACUAUUCUGUUGGAAUAUGUUGAUACUUUGUGUGCGGAUGUUGUUGGUUGUAUUUUGUGUUUUGGCAUUUUUUCAUAAAAUGACGACACAUUUUGAGUUCCUUUUUUUUUAAAUGGAAAAAAUGUGAGUUUUUCAAUUUGACUAAAUGAAUUUAUUUAUUUUAUUAUUAUUAUUAUUAUCAUCAUCAUCAUCAUCAUCAUCAUCAUCUUAAUAAAAUUGUUGAAGGCAAAUAUAAGUCUAAGACAAAUGCAAAAAGUAAUAUGUGUUUUAACUGCGGUAAAUUAGGACAUGGUGAAAUAGACUGUCAUAGGAAUGAUAAUAAAAGGAAAGUAGUGAGACGAAUGUUGCCACUAGGUCGAGUUAUGACUCAAGUGAGGUUUAUUGAGAGUAAACUGCGUUACUACAUGUGCAUCUAUAUAUAAUAUUUUCUGCAUGUGUGUGAUUGCUUAAUUCUGUUGCAUUGAUAUGUUAUACUUUCAAUUUGUUUGUGUAUGUAAUUGGGUGGUCUUAUUACUUUGUGUAAUGUGUUUCCAUGCACAAUGGGUUAAGAUCUAUAGAGUACUUAUUUUACCAUGUUGGCGGUGUGAGCUCUGUGAGUGGUGUAUGAGAGUGUGGUAGUGAGAAGAAAGAUGGGUGACCUUUUUCUCCUUUAUCUUUGUGAGCCCGCGUAGUUCGUGAGAUCAUGUGAGACAGCCAUGCUAAGGUUAUCUUUUUUUCUCGUUGUGAGCAUCCUUUGUAAGUGUAGUGAAGUAACCAACUCUCUCUUCUAUUCUCUUUGUUAACGUCAUCUUCACCCUUCUCUUAUGGGAUAAAUUAUUCAUAAAUUUUUUGAGCAUUGGUGUUUGAGUAACUUUGUGGUUCGUAGAUCAAUUUAAAUUGAGCCCUAACUUUUAUGGUUGCCAAAGAUGUUAUUUUUGCCAUAGUAGGGUUUGAGAUGCAUUAGUAGUAAGUGUGAGGUUGUCUUUUGGUAAUGUGGGGUAUAUAUACCUAGGGGUACAUUGGUGAUUUGUACUGGGAAGUGGAAUGUGAUAUUUGGAUCACGAGUCAAGAGGUGAUUAAACGUUGAAAUUCGUUAUCUGUGAAGACUCUGAUCAAGUAGAGUGUAAGAGAGACAUUCAAAUCACUUCUAUUAGGUGUAGAUCCAUUAUCUACUUAGGUUGAGAGAAGUGAGGUGAUGAUAGAGGAUAAUCCCUGGACUUUGGAUCUAUAGUGAUUUACCAGUUAGACAUGAGUUAGUAACCAAUCUAAUGAGAAAUGGUGGCCGAUUGAGAAGAGAUAUGUGUUCUCGAGGUGCAAGUAAUAUAGAAUGGAACAGGAUAAGCGAGGUGAAAUAUUUUCGUAGAGUCAUUUAUGCAUUUAUUGCACAUGUGUUGGUCGUUUGAUUGAUUAAUUUGAUGUUAGUUUGUUGUUUUACUUUUUUUUUGGAUAAGGUAAGUAUAUUAUAUCCAAAGUGUAAAAAUAAAGUACAAAUCACAGGGGCAUACCCCAGGAAACAAUGCUAGGAAUAAAUGCCUUCCUAACAACAAUAACAGAAACCUAAAUUAGUGCUCAUAUCCUAAUCACGACAAUAAAAAAUAUUCGCAGAAAAACUCCAAGAGCGUUGGAGCCACCUAUUCUCAUUAGAUGGAACCAAGCCCCUACAUGAAUUCACUCGUGCACAAAUAGAGAAAAUAAUAUCUUGAAUAAUAGCAAACUCAUGUUUAGGAGCCUCCCCAUAGGUCCUAGAAUUGCGCUCACGCCAAAUAGCAUAAAUCGAAGCUGCAAACAUCAACUGAAUAACGAUGGAAGACAAUGACUUCCCACGAAAUUGUUCCAUCCAAGAAAGAGUAUCUGGCCAACGCCGUUGAACCCAAGGCAAGUUACAUUUCGCAUGCAAAGUAUUCCAAACACGCUCAGAAAAUGGGCAAGUAAAGAAAAGAUUAUUCAAAUCCUCCACUGAACAAUCACACAGCACACAACGCAUAGACUGUACCAAACCAAAGCGAAGAAGCUUUGUCUGUGUAUAGAUGUCACCUUGAAUAGCUAGCCAAAGGAUGAAUGCAUGACGUGGAAUACAUUUAGGGAACCAAACAAUAUGAUACCAAGCUACCCUAUGGCAGCAAAGUCGAAGAGACUCCCAAGCACUCCGAACAAAGAACACUCCCAGUGCAUCAAUCUCCCAUCAUAAUACAUCUUCUCUAUUACUAUCCGGCCAAAAAGUGGCAAGCGUAUCUCGCAUUAAGUCAGAUAAAGCUGGGGAACGAACUGAUGGCCAUCUCUAAGUAUCACCCUCAACAAUAACAGCCACCUUAGCUAGUCUACUCAAUUUGGAUUCACGAAUUAUCCUCUCUCCAAAAAAUCUUCUCUAAAGGGCCAAGAGGAUGUCAAUUAUCAUACCAAAGCGAGGCACUUCUACCAUUACCAAUUCUGAAUUUCAUUUUGUCCCUUCCUAUAUCCCAGAGUCCAAGAAUCUUCCUCCAACUCCAAGAGAAAUCCCUAGGACACUUCAAUUCCCAAAUGCUCCAUCCUUUAAGUAAAUAACAAUGUGCCCAUGAAACCUAAAGAGAGGAGGCAGAAUCCGUACAAAGGGACCAAAGGUACUUUAACAUGGCAGCCUUAUUCCAAAUCUCCAAGCUCCAUAGACCCAAACCGCCCUCUUCCUUAGGCAUAUAGAUUUUUGCCCAAGCCACUUUAGCCCCCACUGAUGCCAAGGUCACUACUCUUCCAUAAGAAGGCCCGUAGUGAAUUUUCCACUUGCUUGAUCACAGCCUUAGGUAAAAGAAAUACAAAGGACCAAUAGACCUAAAUAGAAAAUAAUACUGACUUAAUAAGUUGUAACCUGCCUGCAUAGGAGAGCGCUCGACAAGUCCAACUCUUAGCCCUAGCUAUAAUACGGUCCACCAGUUUCUUACAAUCCAAAGCCCUCAAUUUGGUAGAGAUAAGCGAAACACCAAGAUAACGUACCGGUAACACGCCUUCCUUAUACCCCAAGACAUCAAGCAACUGAUCCUUAAGAUAUGAAGAAACACCACUGGCAAAUAGAUUACUCUUAUCUAAAUUAGGAAUAAGUCCAAAAAGAGCUUUGAAUCGAUUAAUGCAUUUUCCAAUGAGAGAAACUGAACCAACCUCAGCCCUACAAAAGACCAUAAGAUCAUCAGCAAAAUACAAGUGGGUGAUCUUCUCCUUCUCACACCUCCAGUGGUAUUUAAAGUCCUAUUCAGAAACCAUCAACCCCAUUAAACCUGAGAAGACCUCCAUUGCCAAGACAAACAAAUAGGGUGACAAAGGAUCUCCUUGCCUCAAACCUCACCCGCCCGCAAAGAAACCAUGCAGCUCCCCAUUAAUGGAAAUCGAAGAACGAGUGGUAGUGACACACUCAAUAAUCCACCUAACAACUCUCUCGGGAAAACCAAUCACCCUAAAAACCGCAAAGAGGAAAUCCCAAUGAAUAGAAUCAUAUGCUUUCAUGAGAUCAAUUUUAAGAGCACACCUAGGUAAUCCUCCCAUGCGGUGAUCAUUCCUCAACAAUUCUUGGGAAAGAAGGAUAUUAUCACUAAUAUGCCGUCCUUUAACAAAUGCAGUUUGUUGGGGCCCACAAUGUCUGGGAGCACCGUUUUAACUCUAUUGGCAAUAAGCUUAGCAAUACAUUUAUAAAUAGUAUUGCAACAAGAGAUAGACCUAAAGUCCUUUACCUGAGAAGGAUUAUGAACCUUAGGGACCAAUGAGAUGGAAGUAGCAUUAACUUGCUUCAAUAGAUGUCCCGAGUCAAAAAAAGGACUUGAUUGCACAUAAGACAUCAUUUCCCACAAUACUCCAAGUCCUCCUGAUGAAAACUGCAUUAAAACCAUAUGGCCCUGGAGCCUUGUUGUCUUUCAAAGAGAACAAAACCUCUUUAAUCUCCUCAAAUGACACAUCUCUAUCAAGGCUUUCAUUCUACACUGCUGAUAUACUCUUAGGAAGAGCUUUUCGAAGCAAGUCCAUAUCUAGACUCUCACCACUAGACUGUUGACCAAGGAGAUUUUGAUAGAACGCAACAAUGACUUCACUGAUCUCAUGUGGCUCCUCCACUCUAGUACCAUCAUCUUUACAAAUAGAAACCAUCUUACUUUUGCCAUAGUGACUUUUCAAAACCUUGAAGAAGAAAGCAGUAUUCUGGUCACCUAAAUUCAGCCAUUUAACACGAGAUUUUUGUCUCAAAAAGCCUUCUUCAGCCCUACUCAACUCACAAAAUUCCUUUUGUAACCGAGCCUCUUCCCUAUGUAACGAUGAAUCCAAAGGCGAAUGUUGAAUCAAACACUGAACAUGUUCUAUGUCAGUCCGAGCUUGAGUAACUCUCGUAGGAAGUUUUGAAAAAUGCUCCUUAUUAAAAUGUUUCAAGGCGAGCUUCAGUUUUUUCAACUUCGAACACAAACAAAACAUAGGGGUUCCCACGACUGCUUCACCCCAUACCUGAGCCACCAAAGGAAUGAUAUCCGGAUGACCCAUCCAAAAAUCAAAGAAACGGAAUGGAAUCUUUCUACGCGGUAAUUCUGCAAGUUUAACAACCAUAGGAGAAUGAUCCGACACUCCAGCAGUAAGAAAUUUAGCUACCGAUCCAUGAAAUUUGUCUUCCCACAUCGAAUUCACCAAUACACAAUCUAGUUUCUUGAGAGUAGGAUCAGAUACACGUUUACUAGUCCAUGUAUAUAAAUAGCCUUCAAACUUCAAAUCAUCCAACCCCACAGUCGCCAUGCAAUUCCCAAGAUCAUUUUGCCACGUAGGUCAAGAAGACGAACCACCUGCCACUUCUAAAGGGGAGAGAACAGAAUUGAAGUCCCCCAUGACCACCAUGGCAAAUAUGUGAAACCUCCAUGCCUAACUACUAAAUCAUCCCAUAGAUCAAGACGCUUAACUGGGAUAUUAUCCCCAUAUACCACUGACACCGCACAACUCCAUUUACUAUUACACGCAUUAACACUAACAUGGAUAGCUUGAGCAGAGGAUCCCACCAACAAGACAUCUACAUCAUUUAGAUUCCAACAUAUCCAAAUUUUGCAUGAGCAUAUUUGAAAAGAUUUGUGUGUUAUCCUAUGUUAUAUUUUCAUUGCAUGUUUAUUUGCUCUUGAUUGUUUUUAGUUAUUAUAUGCUUCUACUUGUGUGUAUUUAUUUAUUUUUUAUUAUUAUUAUUAUUAUUAUUAUUAUUAUUAUUAUUAUUAUUAUUAUUAUUAUUAUUAUUAUUAUUAUUAUUAUUAUUAUAACCUUAGCCCUGAUUAUAUGUAGCAAGUAUGGUAUGUGUUUCAAGUUCGAAAAACAAGUUAAGGUCCGUGAUUCCAAUUUUAUUGGUUACUUUGAUUAUGCGAGUAUAAACUUUGUGUUUUAGUUGCUUACAAGUUGAUUGGGUAUCAAUGUGAAAAUUUGUUGGGUUUUGAUACCCAAUAAGUCCCGACGAUGAUUUAAAACAGAUGUCGAAUAAUUUAUCGACACCAUAUACUUGGCUUGACCUAGAAACAACCUACACUUGUGGAUGGUCCAAAUUAUUGAGUUGGAUUUAGUUAGUCGAAUGGUGAUAUUAGUUAGCCAAUUUAUUCUUUAACUUUGCCCUUUAGUUAUUUAUAGUGAGAGAUUGGCCCAAAAAGUGACCUAAUGUUUAGCAUUUAUAUAUCCAUUAUACAGCCGUGUGAUGGGGGUGUGUGUGUGUAGAGUGUAAGAAGGAAAAGUAGAGAGGGGACAGCCGGCUUGGGGGAAAAUUGGGAAAGAUUUCCACCAUUGUCGUCAUUUCUUCUUCUUCCUACUCUUGCUAAUACUAUCACCAUUAUUUUUUCUUUGUGGGGUUAAGAGGACUUGUGACAAUCAAAGUGGAGGUGAGGUUUUGGAUCAAGAUUAGAUAAUUGUGGUGUUCGUUUGGUUGAUUUUCUAAGCCUGGAUCAAAAUAUCUCCAAGAUUUUCGUGACAAAGACCAAAUACAAUUUCAGUGUUUUUCAAAAUUGAAAACUAAAAAUAACAAACCAAAUGCAUGCUUAAUUUCUGAGGUCUGAUUUCCAGAUAUUUCACAUCAAUGCACCAAUAUCUUUUAAGUUGGUUGGGAAUCACGUUACUCACCAGGGCUAUGAUUGGAAACAAAAUUCACGGCCAAACGAAGUCGUUUUUGAUGAGGAGAGGGAAAACCCCUCCCUAACGCUGGGCAAGAUCAAUAAAUAAGAAGCUUCGCGGUAAAGUAGACUUAUCUAAUUGGGGAACUUAUAGGUUGAACACAAAUACGUUAAUUUUUUGUUCACUUCGAUAUUUACAUAACUUGAAUUAUUUGCUAAUGAACUCAUGUUCUCUUGUCCAUAAAAGGAAGUUUUAUCUUAUCUACUUUGAAGAGAUCUUUAUUUAAGGUUAUCAUAUUAGGAGAGAAUCGUAAGUAAGGUUCACUUGUCACAUCAACAAGUGGACACCUUAUCCCGUCCUCAUGGACAGGAGAACAAUUUCUUUUGUUGAUAUUUGUUUUAUGGAUCAAAUAUAUGCAGUCAUCUAAAUUCCAAUUCUGUGACUUCUGUCACAGUUACGUUAAAUGCUCACAUGUUCAUCUUAUCAACACCAAUUCCAUGUGGCAAACUGGCGAGAGAUUUUUGUGCACACUCAACGUUUGUUAAUGGAUUUGUUGUCAAAGAGCAACGAGAAAGCAUAAUCUUUGUCCAUCCAGAAUAAUGAUUUUCACAUUUCACAAAUCGUACAUAAGAUUAUCGUAAUUAACUACUGUAUCAACAAUAAUUCCAUUAAAACUUUUGUAUUUUUGUACAAAAAAUAUACAAAUUAAAUCGUUGUUAAAAUUGAUAAUUAAUUCCUAAAAUCUACUUUAAUAAUGCAACCCAAGAAAUAAAGUAUAAACUAAGUACGCCAUACUUAAAGACGACAGUGCUAUAGAGGUAGAUGGGCUGCUGUUACUGGAGUGGCGGUUUGGAUUGCCAUUGAUUAGUGGACGCGUCACAGUUCUUGUUCCACCACCGCUGCCUCGACCAAUGCCGCCACCCCUUGCUCCACCGCCUCCACGAGCAACUGCAGAGGUGAGGAGGAGGCAAAUCAUUGAAAGAACAAGAACAUAUUUUAAAGCGUUCUGCAUCUUAUCAAUGUCUAUUAAAAAGCUCCCACGAACUAAUUUUUUUUUUUUUAUAUGAGAAUUAAAUGAGUGUUGAAACUCCGCCUUCUGCUGGUCUGCCCUUUUCUCUCUGAUUCAUGGAUAAUAUAUACAGCACAGCAGUAGCACACAGUAG
rnacentral:lncRNA from 1 species